rnacentral:lncRNA from 1 species
UGUACUCAGCCUGAAAAUUUGCUUCUUGACGAGAAGGGAAACAUUAAGAUAGCCGACUUUGGUUUUGCAAAGCAAAUUGACAGAAGAACGUAUACUCUAUGCGGUAUGUGGUUUGCAAACUUGCCGUAACUAUCUUUAACUAUCUCUUUUAAGGACUUUGCAACAGGAACGCCUGACUAUUUGGCUCCAGAGAUCAUUCUCAACAAAGGUCACGGAAAACCUGUUGACUGGUAACGCUUGUUUUUCAGUUUUUUUUCUCUCGCAAAUAAUCAUAAGCUCACUAAGCUUUCCUUCAGGUGGGCCUUUGGCGUUUUGAUUUACGAGAUGCUCGCAGGGUAUCCUCCAUUCUACGAUGAUGGUUAGCUCUCGAAUAACUCACAUAAAUUCAUCAAAACGGUAUACAUGGCGCGUCAGUUUUACUCAUUGUAUCAUAUAAACCCGCCAUGGUGGUUGCAGAUGCUAUUGGAACAUAUCAGAAGAUCUUAGCGGGUAAAUUACAAUUUCCAGGACACUUUUCUCGCAGGCAGGUUUCUUUUAAUCUACUAUCACUUCCGCUAUAGGAUUGAGCUCAAUUGUAGAUAUCCUGCAGUGCGAAGGAUCUCGUAAGAAGGCUUCUCACUGCAGAUCUCACCAAGCGGUACUGCAAGCACUCAUUAUUCCGUUGACGCUUACAUUGUCUUUUUACAGGAUUGGGUGUCUGAAGGAUGGUGUGGAUGAAAUCAAAAAUCAUUCUUGGUUUGCGAACGUGAAGUGGGACAAUGUCCUUGCUAAAAAGGACACUCCACCAAUAAGGCCGAAAGUAGCUGUAUGUGUUUAUUUUCUCAUUUAGACUUCGGUACGAUCUAUGCAUGGACACUGCAGGGCUUGGAUGAUACAAGCAAUUUUGAGGACUAUUCGAAGCUGGAGCCGAUGCACCAUGAAUUCGAGCUAUCAGCGGAAGAGCAAGAACUGUUCAAAGACUUGUAAGAGAUCAUUUUUUGGUUUCUGUGUUUUGUUUGUACAAAUUGGCAAAUUGCUGCUCAACCCGUACUUAGCUGUUGGGAGUGAUUGCACCAAAAAAAAAAAACGUGCUUGCUUCCUUCCUGUUAGUACUGGUGGUCCCGUGUACGCAACGCAACAUCUGCUGGCCUAAUUGGGAUAUGUGCUCGUAAGCUUUGCUUUGCAUUAUUGUUAUCAUCUUUUUCUUGUUUACUAAGUUCUUUAAUCGAUAACACAGCUUGCACGGGCAAAUCCAACUCGCGACCUUUGGAUAUCGUAUUCGACCCACAAGUUCUGUUGCUGAUAGUUCCCAAUGACGUUAACGGGAUUCGGUCCCCCAUCUUCGAACGCGAAACACAUCUUAACAUGAUUCUGGAACCGGGCAACAGGGAGAAGAACACCGAUGGACGGGAUUCCGAUCGUAACUCCGUCUUCGAAAACCAGGGACAGAGACGGAAGAGUCCGAUGAAGCUCGUCAAUGUCGUCGUUGGAAACUUUGAAACAGGUGCCGAGGUCACCGAAAGAAUCUCCCUCGAGAUGUUUGAGACUCGGCGGCCGAUGUUUCAAGAAUGCUUCUCUCAGCUGGCUAUGGAAAGGACGCACAAAACUUGAGAAACUGGAGCCAGAGUCGAGAAUGACAACGGAACCCCGUGGUAAGAACACAAGCUCGUGGCUGUUAAUACUCACUCCUUUCAGUGCUACGUGAUAGAACUUCCUCUGGAGCUCGGAGUUUGUGAGAGCAACGGACGUGUACUGAACUUGCUCGUGAGGGAGCUCUGCGUUCCCGAAGAAAACAACGCCGGUGGAAUUCAAGUGCGAGCUCCUGUCGGGAAAGCAGUGAGAAAACUUCCAACCAAACCGCUGGCCGAGCUGCAUUGGAAGAGCCAUCUUUCCAGCAUUUAAGCCCAGGAUACCAGACGCUCCAGUCGGAACGAGCUCCAAGUCGCCCUGUGCGCAGCCGAAAGCAAAGUCCUGCACAGUUACAGGUUUUCCUCCGACGACUGUCUCCAUUAUGAGAGUGUCGGUCGACAAGCUCCCGUAGCUGAAGCUCCCGUCUCCGUAGAAGGCAGCGAACUGGCACUGGCUUCCUCGAGCGCAGUAAGCGUAAGUUCCUUGGCUGCUGUUCGAACAUAGCUGACUGUUGUUACAGGUGACUGGCCUGUACGAGGCUGAGCGAGCAGCGUCGUAGAUGGUGUCUACUGAAGGAGCACAGACCUUGCAAGGCAGACACUGGAGCCAAGUCAGCUCGCUGCCCGUGUCGACGAUGAGGAUGGCUUCCUGGCCCGGCGAGCCGAGCUUGAUACUUGUGUAGUACUCACCGAAUUUCCGUCCGAGAGUGGUGGUGGAGCUCCGGAGGGCCGCGGGGUUCUUCGUGUGCUGCUGAAAGAUGUGAGCGGAGUAUGGAAAAAGAGACUUUUGAGCAGCGGAGCUGGGACUGGGAUUGGCUUUCACUCGGGAUUGAGGUGCUGCGACAUGGAUGGCUUUGAAUCCGAUCCCUCCGCCUCGAGCGGCGGAGUCUCGCAGCACCAACUUGGCAUCGAUCGAAACAGUAGCAACGGGAGAAGCAUCGGAAAUCCAGCACAGUAGCAGCAGCAGUAGCAGGAUCAUCAUUGAGGAGCGGAGAGGAGAUCCAGGGCGCUUCUCGAAAGCUCUCGCUGGCGGGACUUUUAUGUUCUCCGCCAAAUGGUUGGCAACAAAGGAAGGACUUUGGGACCCAGAAGAACACGUCCGAGGCUUCCAGAAUCAACGUUUCAACUAACUCGGCAGUGGUAAGAGCAGUGAAGUAAGAUCGCUCAUACUUAAUGCGCUUGUGUCGUGUUCUCUGUUCUAGGAGCCUACGAGUUUGGAUCGAAUUCGUUAGCAAUCUGAGAAAGAUCCCAGGUAAGAAGUAGUCAAUUGGAUCUGCUCGUUAUAAUGUGUGAUUGGUUUUUUUUUUUUUUUUUCAAGCGAAAAAUAAGAACGAAGAGAGGAAGAAGAAGAGAAGAAGAAGAGAAGAAGCGAGCUCUGGACAUUGGAUUGGAAUGGUGGAAGUCUCCAAAUUUGAUGCUAUAGCCGACACUAUAGAAUGGAAGUCUCCUUUAAAUUGUUUACUGGCAUUGUUAUGUAUGGAAGUCUCUUAUCUCGCUAUAAUGAGGUGUUCUUUCAUGUCAAUGGGCCACAUUAGGGUUUUCAAAUGCCGCGACGAGGAAGAGGAGGUAAGGGAGGGAGCUCGAUUCGUCCUCGGCCAUGGCAGAUCGGUUAGUCGCGGCAUUAUUGCCUUGUCCAGUGGCGGCGUCUUGCUCGUCUUCCGCCGCGCCAGUAUCGUCGUCGUCGCAUUGUUGCCUAGUUGCCCGGUCCAAUUCGCAUCGCAAUUGGACUCGCUCGUUGCGCUUGGAUCGGUCGUCGUUGCAGGGCCAGAGAUUGGAGCUCCUGCAGUGCUGCUGGCAGCGAAGGACGAGAUCUCGGCUAUUAAAGGUACUGUUUGAUUGUGUGUUGGUGGACUUGGUAUGGUUUUUAUCCUUUGUUUUCUCUUUUCCAGGUGAAUGCCGCGAGAGGACCCGACGAUGGAGUUAAGUGGUGGGAGAAGGACGGCGGUCCAAACAUGAGGGACGUCCACUCCACGCAGGAGUUCAUCGAUGCGCUUGGGAGUGUUGGAGACAAGCUUGUCAUCGUGGAGUUUUUCGCGACAUGGUGUGGUUCUUGCAGAGCUCUCUAUCCCAAGGUAUGCUUGACCUUUCGCUCGUACAUUUUCCAGAAAUCUUUUUCUGUUUUCGCACAGCUUUGUAAGCUUGCUGAGGAACAUAGAGACAUAGAGUUCAUCAAAGUGAAUUUUGAGGAGAACAAGCCGAUGUGCAAGCGCCUAGACAUCAAAGUGUUGCCUUAUUUCCAUUUUUACCGGGGGGCUGAGGGUCGUGUUGAUGCCUUUUCCUGCUCGUUGGCCAAGGUAAGACAGGGUGUCUAGCUUCUUUUCGUUUCGCUCUAAGGUGGUAUGCUUUGUUCUUGCAGUUACAAAAGCUGAGAGAUGCGAUACAACUACACAACUCAGAUCGGUGCAGCCUCGGGCCAACGCUUGGCGUUGGUGAUUUGUUAAGUUCUUUGGCAAACACAAACACCCCUGAUCAGGCUGCUACUGCUACUAGAUAGUGUGAUUCUUUCUUCGUUUUGAGGUGAAGAGAGAGAGAGAGAGGGAAAAAAGAUGAAUGGAUCAUUUGGAAUACUAAACGAUUUGCAUUUCACAGAUUGGACGACUCCUCGAGCACCUCAAAGACAAGCAAGAAGCAGCCGAAGUAAAGCUAAGCAAGUUCACUAUCUCGCUUCUAUAAAUAUAACAACAUUUUUUUCUGGCAAACUCUUCCUUGUUUAUUACAUACACAUUCGGACGAUCGCGCUCUCAGCUCGCCUGCUUCAAAAAUAUGCUGAAGAGAUCAUCCUGGUUAGCGCUACCGCUACCACCCUCAACCUUUACAGGAUCCACCACCAUCGCCUGGUCCGUGAAACGAUGGUCACUGGCAGCGGUAGCAACGUAAGGCCUGCUGGUUCCUGGCUCCGCUGCGAAUCUGGCUGGCAAGACUCCAAAGACGGAUCCAUCGUGCUGACCCUGCAAGCUCAAGCUGGCCAUCCUCGAUCCAAAGCCGCGACUACUGGCACUACAAGUUUGCUGCUGCUGCUGAAAGUUAAGCAAUCCACCGCCGAGUUGCUCGCUGCUCUUGGCGAAGAAAGGAAGAGCAUGGUGGUGGCGGUGGUCCGAGCUAUAAGAAGAAGCGGACGGAGAAGUCACAAACGGACGAUCGCCGUUUUGCUGCUGCUGGAUCAUCAAACUACUGCUGUUACUGCGAUUGGAGGAGUUAGCCAAGGCGUACUGGUGCAGAGCAAACUCGUCCACCGGACUCCUUGGAGAGACCUGUUCCAAGCCAUCCAGGGACACCCGGCUUGGAAUGCUCAUGAGCGGCGGUGGGACGACGGUGGUGGCGGCCGCUGCUUGGGGCCGGCUACUGAAGUAUCUACAUCCACCUUGAGACGCAACCGGCGACGCUCCCGACAGCUGCAUCAACACCGAGUGAUCCACCAAAGUUGCUGCUGGUGCUGCUGCCCCUGUUCUUCCGAGGUUGCCUUGGAUAGAUGCGAGCGCAGUGGGGGACGAGUUUUGGAACUGUGCCGAGGGUGGUAGUGUUCUCAUUUCGCCGAGCGCGUUGAGAGCUGCAAAGGAAGCGUCCGCAGGCGAGCAAAAGGUGACGGCGUGGCCGUUUGCUCCAGAGCCUUGAGGCUGGACACCACUCAGCCUCCUCAAGUAGAGCCGGUACUUCUGCAAGAGCGCAAGUGUGAGAACGCGAGGCAAAGCCGAGCUACAACCUCGUCAUGGAUUUGGAGCUCAGCUCCAACUCUCUCGCAACUCUCGCAACCAAGAAGCUCUCUUCUCUCGACGACGAGCUGGACAUCUAAAGACUCGGAAAAGGAACUACGUGACUGAAACUAUGCAAGCUGGUCGAUAGUGGCGACGAGCUAAAGACCAAGAACCGGAAGAGUCGAGUACCUGGAGAUGGCUGGCAACGUUCUCGCGAGUGAGGCCAUGGACGCUCAUACUCUCCAGAAUCUUCUUCGGCACAGCUUCUGCCAAAAAACCAAGCUUCGUGAGCAAGGCCGAGAAGAAGAACUACUACGAGAAGGCCGAGGAACUUACUAUCAAUCCCGAGCUGGUUCACGGCAUUGACAAACUGCUGGUGGAGCUCCACCGACCAGACGACGCGCUGCUUCUUCAACGUGGAAGAGUCAUCGUUGUCAUGCUCAGCGGUCUCGUCGCCAUCGUCUUUCCUCCGCUUGGCCAGCUUCCAGUUUGGAUCGCCACCGCCGCCACCAUCGGAGUUAAACUCUCCCUCGUCGAUGGUCGAGGCUCGCCUUUGCUGCUGGGAGGAGUGAUGCUGCUGCUGCUGGUGAUGGUGGUGGUGAUUUCUCUCGCCGCCAUCUUCGACGCUGCCAGAGGCCUCCACGUCCCGAGCUUCGUUGCGUUUCUUCCGGACGACAUGCUGCCAGAUGUUCCGGAGCUCCUCCGUCCUGACCGGCUUGAUGAGGUAAUCGCAGGCCCCGUGGAUGACACCCUUCAUCACAAUGCCGGUUUCUCCGUUCGAGGACGUCACUGCAAAGGUCAGAGCAUUGUCAAGUUGUAUGUCCUCUCAUCUCAUUUGCGAGUUCCAGGAGCUUUGGAGGAAGAACUUACUGAUCACCGGGAGGUCCAUCUCCAAGCCAACGUACUCCAGGAGUUUGAAGCCGUCCAUGUCCGGCAUGAAGACAUCGCUGAUCAUCAAGUCGAAUCUGUCCUUGUUCUCGCGGAGUAACGACAGCGCUUCGGUGGCUCUCGUACACAUGGUAACUGUAGCAAGUCCAAAACAAACAUUGGAGCAAAUCUGUGAAGAACAACACGCUUCGACAAUUCUACGUCAAAAAAGAUCGCAGCUACAAGGAUUCCGCUGGAGCUAUGGACAGUUCUAUACCACCCAAUGGAAAAAAAAAGAAAAAAAAGAAAAAAAAACUAUACAAAACGUAAGCGCGACACGAAAAGCGGAAGAAAAAAUCACACAAAUCCAAGCAUGAAAGCGAGAAAAAGCUAUGAUCAAACGAAAGGAAGAAGCUUACCUUCGUAGGAGCAUUUUCGGAGCAUCUGCGCGAGGAUCCUGAGACAAGUUGGAUCAUCGUCCACGGCCAAGACUCGGAGACCCGCUGGGAAUUUGCCCAAAUCCUUGGCUUGCGGCAUUGCGAUCCCAGUCUUGUCCACGCCCACCAUCUUUGUCCUCCCACAAGAACAAGAGAGAGAAAGAAGAACACGAGCAAAGGGUGCGGUGAUCUUUGUCUGUCUAUCGGACGGAGCUCGUGAGGAGAAGAAGAAGACCCAACACUCCCAUCUCAAGAACAAGCCCGGGAAUGCAAGGAAAGAGAGUGGAUCCGGGCAUUUGACAUCGACCCACAAGACGAUCGCAGAGAGCUCUCGCACUCUCUCCUACUGAAAUUUAGGGCGCCAAUGGCGAGAACUGGACGAUCUCUUUUGGAAACUCCCAAUCACGAAAAAUCCACACGCGAGAGCCCCCGCGAGCGAGGGCGUUUUCGAUUCGCCCGGCAAGAAAGAGAGGAGGAAAGAAAGCAUGGAUGGAGGAUUUGGGCGAGCGAGCGAGCGAGCGAGCCACAGAGAGAGAGAGAGAGAGAGAGAGAGUUCUAGCGCACGAAGAAGAACUCCUUUUCUUCUUCCUCGCUAAGAAUUCUCUCCUGGGACUAGAUUACUCUCGCAACACUCUCCAUUGGGUUCUAUAAGAUCUCGCAAAAACUAGUUUUUUUCUUCGUUCUUUAGGAGGAGUGGAAUUGGAAUGGAUCGAUCGGAAUUGGAUUAGGAGUAGUAAAACGGCCGAGGCGCAGGAGCAGCAGGAGAUGGCGAUGGCGUCGCUGUUGCCACUGUUGUCUCGUUCCUCAUGAAUUUCUGGAGUUUCUUGCGAGAGAGGAGAGGAAGAGCACACAGGGAGAAGUCAGGUCUACACCUAUAGCUCUAGCCAAGCAAGAAAAAAAAGAAGAAAACAAAUAAAAUAUAUUGGCCUGAAAAGAGGAGAAAGAGAGUUUUUUUUUUUAAAGGAGAAAAGAAUCCGAAAGAAAACAAAAGCUCUGUUCGUUCUUGUUGGUGUUCGUUCGUACUGGCUGUUCUUCCCAGCUAUGGUGGGAAAAAGGGGAAAUUUUGGGGGAGAGGCGCAAAAGAAAAAAGAGAGAGACUGGAAAUCAAUCAAUGCAGUGCGUACCAUCAAUCGCUAAGACGGCGUCUUUAUGGCCCAAAAUCGCGGCUUGGCACAGUUUGCGCGAAACGAAAAGGGGGAAGAAAGAACACAUCGAGUACAAAAACAGAGUGCUCGGGCGAUCUUCUCCUGGAGCGAAUCGAGGAAAGAAUCGAAGAGGGUAGAAAGAAAAACAAACGAGAGAUUCACCUCUCUCGUCCCCUUUCGCAAUUGCUGCUCUUGGGUCGCGACGGCAAAUUUUCGAAUUGGGAGAUCCUGAGAGAGGUCGAUUGAUUGAUUGGCAUUGUUCCAGUGAAAUCUGGAUGGAUGGAUUGUGUGUCAAUCCAAAUUCCGGUAAGGAAGCUGCCGAUAUGGCAGAAACUUCUGAGAUUCUCCACUUGCAAGCAGCGCAGCCAACCGGGAGCUCUCCUUUAUCCGGGCUCUCUUUUUUCACUUUUCUCUUUUGAGAGGAAUGGGCAAAAAGAGUGAGAUAAGAGCUGUCGAGCAGCGCAAUUGGAGCUGCUGGGAUUCCUGGCUGGCUGCCCAAGUUGGGAAUUUGGGCGACAACAAUCACCGCUCGGUGCUACGCUCCAGCAAUCUAGAUUCCAUCCAUUUUGCCUGGAGAAGAAAAUUGGAUCGAUCAAUCAAGUAGGGGCCAAUGUACUGCUUAACUCCCCCGGGAUAGAAAAAAGGGUAAAGUGGUGCGCGCUAUGCCGAGGAUAAAGCUUUGUUCUUCCUUUCUUUCUUCUUUCCGGACGAUUGUUGGGGGCGGCAUUGCGGGCUGGAGGAGGAGAUGCAUUGAUUGAUGUGAAAUCUUGUCUGCCGCGCUGUGGGGGCCAGGCGCUUGCGUGCUUCUCCCCAAGAACCGAUUUAACCUAAUACCUAUCCACAUUUCAUUGUGAGAGUAUGGUUCUCAAGCAAUUGUUAAUUAAAUGUGUGCCAAUUAUGAGCCAAGCUUUCACCCAGUUACCCCCAUCUGGCGGCUGCAGUUCUUUGAUGGCUCUUUAUAAACAAAUAAAUAAAUAUAAUUUAAAUAUAUGUGGAAAGCUUCUGUUAAGGGUCAUUAUAUUUUUAAAUAAUAUUCUUGAUUAGUAUUAUAGUUUUAUUUAUAGAAUUCAUUCACAGUAGCCAAAACACUGAUAAAAUAAUUUGACAAGUAAAAAUUGAAGUAGAGACAUGGAAAGUGAAUAUAAAUUUCACCAUUUUAAAUAUAAUGGGAUCUAAUGGCCGUACAUAAAUAAGGUAGGAACUUGGGAAUAUUGACAAAUGGGUUAUUCAAGUCAAGUUAAAGAAAGAUGCUUUGGUGGGCCAUGAAAAUAUGAUUUCAUAGGUUUUGUAUAUGAGUAUAUAACAAUUAACUUUACAAUGGGCAAAUUCACCUUAUGAAUAUGUUUAUGCAUUAUAAAGAAAAAGGUAUAAAAUUAUUAUGACAGUACAUGGGUGGAGCUCUCAAAAUAGGAUUUUUUACUGAAAAUGAUAUUGCUCAAGCUUUUAAUUGUAUUAUUUGUAAUUGUAUAUGGUGGAAAAAUUUAUUUCCUAAAUGACUCUAUUUAUAUGGGUAUAAAACUAUUGCAAAGAGAUGAACUAAAUAUUUUUUCAAAAUUAAGCUUCCUUGAGUGUUUAUAACUUAAGUGGUAGAGUGUUAUUAAUUAUUGUAGUUUUAGUUAUUCUAUAAUAUCAUACUAUAAUUCACAAAAACUAUUUUGAGAUGGUUAGUUAUAUUUCAAUUUAAGUCAUCUAAUAAAUUAUGUUUUAUUAAAAAUUAUUAGCUAAGCUUGCCAAUAAACUAUAUUGUACAUCAUGAAUUCAAAUUAACAUCUUAGAUUGUUGUAUGGUCUAAUCAACUUGAAAGCUCAUUCUACAUAAAACAUUUCAUAUUAUUAUGAAGGAACUAAAGAUUUUUAGGAGUUUAAAGAACUUUUAAAUGCAAAUAAACAUUAGCUUCUAGGAAAUUAUAUUAUAAACAUUGAUCAUGAUCAAAAGCAAAAAAGCUUAUACUUAGAAAGCUUGGAAGAAUUAUAUAAACCUAUUUUUGAUAACAUUCUUUUAUCACUCUCUAUAAAAUAUUAAUCAUGCAUUAGUAGUAAGCUUCUUGUGAAUUACUCUUUACUCAGCUCAUACCUGGCUGAUCCAAAUCAAAAUGCAAGAUCAAUUACAAUAAAACAACACCAAGACAUUUAGAAGAUAAGAAAUAAAUGGAUUGCUCAUAUAAAAGGCAAAAACUACUCUUAUAAUAAGGAAGAGUUAAUCAACCCUAUAGAACACAAUGAACUAAAAAAAUUGUGAUUGUUAUAAUAUUUGGAAUAAAUUGUUGAAUGGAGAAUGUGUGAAAUUAAGUAUUGACAAUGCUAACACUCGUACUAAUAAAAUUUAUACUAUGAUAAUCAAUCAGCUAUUUCUUUAACACAAUAAUCUAGUUUUUCACUCCAAGUCUAAGCAUAUAAGAUCAGAACCUUAAAGCUUGUGUUGAGCACCAACAAAAUUUAUUUAGUAUUUAAGAAUAUUUAUAUAUAUUUAUAUAAACAUUUUUAAACACUAAAUAAACUUUAACAAAAUAAUUAUUAAAUUAUAACUAUUAGAUCUAUAACUAUAAGAACAAAACCUUAAAGCUUAUGUUGGGCAUCAAUAAAAUUUAUUUCUUGUACACAAAAUAAUAGGCAAUAAAGUUUUGUAGCUAAUAGACAAUAGUUGAUAAUAAAAAACAUAAUUUAUUCACUCCUCUUUAUAAAAUGUCUGUUACAAAGUAAUGCUCCAAGUUCUAAAAUAAAUUCCCUAGUUGUAAUCAUAAAUAUGCAAAUUCCACCACUAUCAUCUUUCAAAUGUUACUUGAAUUUUGUAAAAUGUUACAUUUAUUCUUGAAAAACUUGCUUCUCCACAGCCAAAAAUUAAAACAAUUGAAACAAAUUGUCAAACACUAAAUCACUAACAUCAAUUCUCUCCAAUUAAAACUCCUUAUAUUCCUUUAUAAGAAAAUUAAUGAAACAAUAGAGUUUACCAUGUUGCUAAUUCCUAAAAUGUAUAUUUUCCAAUUUUUUGUUACAAAUUCAUCCACUUCUUGUCACUCAAAAAUGGAUUUUAAGAUCUUAUUUAGUGAAUGAAUUUCAAAUACAUAUAUAUCUUAUAUUCAGAAGAAAAAUAGUCAUUAUUUGUCCAAACAUUAUAAGUGGCAUGGAUUUAUUUAGUCAUGUUGAAUAUAUUAUAGAUCCUUACCAGUUUAUAGGCUCUUUAAAAGGACCAAAAAAGCAGUCAACUUAGCUCUUCCCUAAGCCCACUUACCAAUGGUGUAACAUUUUUUUAUGAAAGUAAUCUCCUGGCUAAAGCUGUCUAUAUUGACUAGAAACAAGCUUAAUUAAAAAUAUUAUCCCUUUUGAGUUAGAACACUUGAAACUUCCUUUGACAUUAAGCUUUAAAGUAAAUGUUGAUUAUGAAUUUGUUCUACUUCAUUUUUAAUUUGGUAGAUUUAGAAUCUCUUCAAACUUUCUAUUUCUCUAAUAUGGGAAUUUUCUUUCAAGUCAAGUAGUCGCCAUUGAUUAUUUGACUAAAUGGGCAAAAGCUAUACUUAUGAAAUAGACCUUGUCUUAGUAAAAACUUAUAAAGCUAGAUGAAAAAAAAUUAUAAAAGGAACUAGCUUUUGAUUAAUUACAAAAUCUUAAAUAUUAAUGUUUAAAUUACUAUUAAAAUGCUUGAAAAUUUUAUGUAGUAGAGCUGGGAUCCUAACUAGUUUUUAUCUAAAUCAAGAAGAUGAUCAUACUAUUUGCCUAGAUAAUACCCAUUGUGGAUAGAGUGCACUUGUUGUAUGGCUUCCAAUUUGGUAAUUUGGCAGCACCUUGUGCUGGUUUGACUUCUUUGACUAUGAUGAUGUCAUCACAAUUGUCUCAUAAGAAAAUGACCUUCACGAGGGCAGCAUAAUUUGCAAAAUCUCUUUUAUACAAACUUCAAUGCAUUAGUGCCAUUCUUGCUUGCCAUAUCAAAUUGUACUUUGUAGCCUUUAUCAUACAAAUUUUAUAUAGUGUAUACUAAGUAAACUAUCUAGGUGCCCAAACAGAAGCUUUAUAGUUACAGAUCUAAUAGUUAUAAUUUAAUAGUUAUCAUGUUAUAAUAACACUUGAUUUGGUUUGAUUAAAGGAAAAAACCUGUUUGCAUAUAAAGAGUUCACUUUCCCCUAGGCAACAAUGAUGGAGUUAGAGUCAAUGACACCAAUAUAUGAUUUUGAUUCCUAAUUAGUAAAUUUAAAAAUCUAAAAAUUUAGGAAAGGCUUUUAGAAUGAAUCUAGAGCUAGUAUCAUCACAUUUAUUUCUUUUUUUUAGAACUAAAUGAUUCUCUAAAGCCACACAAGCUAGAUAAAGUAUUUCACUUGGGUAAAUGUUCUCAACUUUGGUGACUAUGCACUAGUACCCUUAUACAGUAAGAUAAAUUGAGAAUGUGAAAUUCAUCUUACAAAUCCUAUUAAUCUUCCUUCCAGAGGUAUAGUUGAAGCAAGAACAAUUAAUAAAUGCUAUCAUAUUAAGUUCUAUUGUGACCAAUUUAUCAGUGGCAAAUUUUUUGUUUAAACUACAAGGCAAUGUGCAUGAUAAUGAAAAUUAUCCCUCACAAUGCUAUAUAUAAUUUUAUUUACAGUUUUAUAUUUUUAAACUUAUAUAUCGAUAUAUAAAAUCUAAUUUAAUAAAAUAUUUUUAUUUUUACUUUUUUAUCCAUUUAAUUUAUUUUAAUAAGGUUUAACCAAUAAAAUAUGGAUUUUUCCAUAAUUAAGGUUUCUAUUGAGAAUUAUGAAGAGUAACUUUGGCUUUUUAUAGGAAAGAAUGUGAUUAUUUCAUCAAAUUUUUUAGAAAUAAUUCUUUUGGAGUUUUUUGAAUUCUUUCUAUAUAUAUAUAUAUAUAUAUAUAUAUAUAUAUAUAUAUAUAUAUAUAUAUAUAUAUAUAUAUAUAUAUAGUUAUUUUAAUCUUACCUUCCCUUUCAAAGCUGUUAUAGUACUUUGGUCUCAUUAGUUAUAUAAUGCUUAAAAACACUAAGGUUUUUUUUUUCUUCAACUUUUUACUCUUUUCUUUCUACUUGUUGUGCUUUAUUAAAAAUAAUAGUUUCCCACUGUCAUGUAUAUAGUAAAAUUAAAAGUUAACAAUCCUAUUUUGAGCUAUCCACCUCACCUAUGUCCUUUUUUAUUUUCGCUACAUAAGUUCAAUCAGAAGGUAAAUUUACUUAUUCUAAGGUUAAGCCAUUUUAGACAAGUAGUUGCAAAAUGUUAUUGCAAAAGAAAGUUUGUAUAGUAAUGGUUGGUUUCCAUAGGUAGAAUUUUUGGCUGUGAUCUUUAUCAUAAAGCUUGCCUCACAACAUAAUAGGCAACAUUUCACAUGUUCAAAUAAGAGCCUUUGCAUGGCUUUAUCAGUCAAAUGAAUAGAAGCCUUUAGAAAUUCCACCAGCGUAGUCCUCUCUCUUUCCAGCAAUGUUUGAAAUAUAUAUAUAUAGCAAAUGAGUGGGGUAAGAGAGAAAAGCAGCAUCUAUGCUGGCUAGAUGUCCAAGUUGUGAAUUUAAGCAACAACAAUUUCUUCUAGUCCAGAAACCUAGAUUCUAUCUAUUUUUUUUUCAAAUUUUAAAUAUAUCUCUAAAUGUCAUGGGAAAAGCAAGAUCCUUACAACUGAAAUUCUUGAUUAGUAAGCCUUCCUUAGUUUGGGCAUUUUGCAUGCCUUGGUUAUUUAAAUCAACUUAAGAAAAUAUGUUUUGAUCAUAAACAAAGAAGAUGAGUUUCUAUGGGUUUUAUGUGUUUGCAAAUGUAAAUUUUUCUGUCUAAGCAUACAUAGUUGAUAUGUGUUUCAUAUUUUUUAGUUGAAAAAGAAGAUGUUAGAAAUGUCAUUUACAUUAAUUGUUAAUAUCCAAAUUAGAAUUAUAGUUCAUAUUUUAUUUUGCAAAUUGUGACUAUAUGUUUUAUUCAAAUAUUUUGUAGUUAUUAGCGCGAUUCACAAUUAUAUACUUUCAUUUUGGUCACUUUUAAAAUCCCAAACUUAUAAAUUGAAUGUUUUGGACAAGAAAUCCAGCAUAGCCCAAAAAGCUUUUGGAUUUGUGAAAUUCUUCAAAGAGUUACCAAGUUACUAAGUUAGCCCUAGUGCAUCCUGGCUUGCUCACUAGGCACAACGCCGACAUUUGCAAUAGCACCCGUGGCACAGUGCCCAAACCUGUUUGAUAUCCUCCUCAGUUUUUCCUGGUAAAGUCUUAAUCUCUUGAAUAAGGACAACUUUGUAUCAAGGGUUGACGGAGCCAUUUCCAGGACUGACUUUCGGCAAGUCGACCUCUACACGUUUGGACGCCGUUCCUUUGACAAGCGUGAACUUGAACAAAGAGAAAGGGCCUUUUUCAGCUCCAAUCAUCUCAUUUGCUAGCCCGUAGAUUGCCUCCAUUACCAUUCCUUCCUUGGUAUCCUCCUUGAUGUUUUCAGAGUCAGGAGAAGCAAAUACCACGACCCUGUGUCCCAACGGCCUUGUACCACCAGUAUACUUCUGAUUUAUUAGCUGGAAGCACAAUUCACAAUUUUUGUUGGUAGAGUCCCUGGUCUGAAGAUAAAAUAGUCGAAGAAAUGUCUCAGUGCUUAUACUUGCGUGGUGUGAUAAUAACAUACCAGAUAAACAUAGACUUCCCCACCCCCAGAACUCCUGUAACCUUUAGAAGCCUCGUGCACCUAACGAAAGGAGCCAUCAGGUCAUCAAAGGUUGAAGCAUAAGAGCUCCUGAAGAACAGCGUCAAAUUGAUAGGCUCUCAAGUCCUCGAAUUCGUCAAAGGCAAUCACUUUUCCACUUGCAUAGUUCGCAGAAGUUAGCCCCCUGAUUUUUGUCCAAGAUUUUGAGCUGUAACACGAGCAUCAUCUGCAAGGAAGAAAACUGUCACAGCAAGCUAGAAAAUGUCCAAAAGGCAAUUGCUACAUAGAAAGCGGAAAAAGUUCCAUACAGAAAUACAGGGAGCAAGAAGCCACCAAUGAGAGAUCCAGUAAAACCGGGUCUUACAACCACAGGCAAACACAGACAAGCAUUCAGAAAAGAUCAUAGACAAUUCCCUCACAAGAUCACACAACAAACAAAAGGCCUACCUAGAUACCAACAAAAAUAACGCAGAGCGCACACCAACUCCGAAGGAAACAGAAAUGCAUUCGAAAGAAAUCAGGGAGCCAUAGCAGCACAGCCACUCUGAAAUUCUGAACGAGAAAUGUUAAACUUUACGCGAGCUCGGAUUGCGUUGCAAGAAAUCAAAGAUCCUCCUUCGUGUAUCAACAUGUGAUUACUCUGCAUCUGUUUUCUCAUUGUUGCAAUUCCACAGCGAUCCAAAUGUGGAAGUUAUCUUGAGCUAUGGUGAUGGCAGAGAGGUGGUUGUGGCGGCGGCGUAAAUGAUGACGGAGGAGUCGAUGGUGGCGGUGGCGGUGGCGGUGGCGAACUUAUAUCCUGUAGAACCUCCCGGGAGGAGCGAUGGACUCUACUCAUGCUCCUCUAGCGAGGCUGAAGCUCCGGUGGAGAGGAUAUUUGCGGCAUCGACGCUCAGCCAAAAGCCUCCGGAAUAGAUGCUUUUGAGGGUGGAGAAACAAUGAGCGCUCCAGGGGACUCGAAUCGCUCUAGAGAUUUUUAUUUCCUUUGCUUUUACUUCUUUCGCUUUAUUCUUCGUUCUUGUUUGUAGUGCAGAUAAUCCUCAAGCGAAGCUGAUGAGUUUGUGGAUUUAUAGCUGGCUGACGAAUACGGUGAUCGAGAAGAUUGAAAGGCUCUACCAGGUAAUGCGAGUUAGUAUUUUCUCUUUUUCCAUUUGACAGAUUUGUCUCAGCAGUCCCUUGUUGAAGUAGAAGCCUGUGUGCUUCGUCUUGGUCCUAAAAUUACUACCUAUAAGCUCUCGACUAACAAAAAAGUAAUCUGCAACUGAUACUUACACCGGAUCUUCAAAGAUCCGUCGUCUUCGUCCUCACCUCGUAAUGGGCCUGAGACAAAUCUGUCAAAUGGAAAAAGUCGCGGAGAAAGUCGCGGUAAUGUAAGUUCUAACUCUUCCUUGCGGCUACAAAAUGGUUUUUUAGUGCUUGGUCUCGAUCAGCGAGCAACAAAGCGAGUAAGAAGACAAGCUGAUCAAGCUCAAGGCCUACACAACCAAGGGUCAUGAACACAACAUACCCGUAGCAAAUCUGAACUUGGAUAACUUCCCCAUACUAGCCGAACAGUUCCUCUUCACUGGUAGAAAGAAAAACAAGAUGAGGCUACGACGUUUGAAGAACAUACCUCAUGGUGUAUGCAAGGCCGCGCACGAUAAGCCUCCAGGUAUUUGUCACCGCUACAUUCUUCAUUAGCGGGACGAUCGACAGGACCACCUUGCUCUUGCGGCAUGGCCAUUUCCUUCUCGUCGUCACCAUCGUCACUCCACUGCCGGACCUUGCUCUUGAGGUAGUGCAGUCGGAGACUGGCGGAAGUUGAGCGUCAGCCAGACCUUUGUCUUUGUAAGUUGGUGAGCUUGUCAUCUCUUGACGUUUAGCGUGGGAGGCAAAACCCUAAAGCUCAAAACCAAGAACCGAAAUACUUCAUAAACAUGUUUUCUCAACUUGAAUGCAACCUUGAGAUCUCGGAGGUGAUCCGAGUGAUCAACCUCUUGAUCUUGAAGGCAAGAUAAAGAAAGCAUGAAAGUCGGAUCGAACGAGAUCAUAGCUCAGAAAAGAUCCAUUUUAUGGAACUCUAUGAUCGUUGUGCAUGCCCAAUGCAGAGAUCUUGAUGGAGCAAGAAAGUUCACUAUCAUGGUAUCGGAGCGCUCCAGGAAUGGAGCAGAGAUCUUGAGGACCUGUGAAGGAUGAAGAAGAAGAAGCUUCCAGAUGCCAACGGCAGAAGCAGAGUAGCCUAGAGAGCAGCAACAAAGCAAUGGCAGAGCCGUACCAGCAGCCAGGAGUGGCAGAUAGUAGCGACUCAGAAGCCCUGGAGUGGUAGAAGAUGCCAAUAUGCUCCAAGAGAGGAGCAGCAGAGCAGCCAAGAAGCCCAGGAGCAGCAGAGCAGUGACUCAGCAGGCUGAGAAGCAGAACAGCAGCAGGAGUGGCCAAGAUGCUCAAAGAGAGGAGUAGCAGCAGCCAAGUGAGCGGCGGCAGAUAGCAGCGGCAGAGUUGGCUGAGAACCCCAGUAGUGGCAAAAGAGCUCCAAGAGAGGAGCAGCAACAGCCAAAGGAGCGAUGGCAAAAGAGCCAAGAGUGGCCAAGCCCUAGAGCAACAAGAUGUAGUUGAUUUGGUGGGAGUCAGUGGAGUACCACCAGUUUAGAUGAGUUUUUUUUUCUUUUUUGCAGUUUUUCUCAUCAGUUGUAUGCAUGCUGAGCAUCUUAUGUUAUGCUGAGCAGAGUAUGUCAUUUAACUAGGAAACUAACAAGUUCUUUGCGAGGAUGAGCAGAGAGUCAUAACACUUAUCAACUCAUUGGCUGCACUGAUCUAGCGAAAGAAACAUUCGACAGAAUGCCACAGCAUGAUCUUAGAAUGCAGCGAACGCCCAGUGCGGUGAAACCGAUCAAUUACACAAACUCUUUCAAUGCCUCAAAAACACCUACAGUUUUUUUAAUGAUCGCUGCAUAUGGGCAUGUAUACCAAGCAAAGUGCUUGUUUGACACUGUAAAAGUUCCAUGGAAUUGCAUUAGGACCAUGCGGGUAAAAUGGACACUUGGACAAUGCUUGGGCAUUGUUUAGAUGCCGUUUACAACCAAACAUAGUGACCUGGAACGUUCUUAUCGUGUUGUUUGCCCAGAAUCCACAUGGUGCUAUGUCCAUUCAGCUCCUUAAAGUCGUGAAUCUAGAAGGAUUCAAGCCGGGAUUUUUUAUCUUCCCUUGCUGCCACCUUGGGCUGGUAAUCGAGAAACGUUAGCUAAGCUAUGGUUUUUGACUACAGUACCGAGUGCUGCUAUAUCGGUGUUCUUGCAGGAGCUGCGCUCUUAAAUGAUGCCGAGGAGCUCAUUAACACAAUGCCAUUUUUUCCAGAUGUUUCCAAUUGGGGAUGCUUCCCUGUAAGAUUAGAGUUGAGAGGACUGUUAGUGCUGCUUACAAUGCCAUCGUGAUGGAUCCUAAAACCUCAGCGCCAUAGACAAUUUUUCAUCAUGCUUUGACCAGUGUGGUUAAACUUUUUGCCUUGUAAAGCUUAUUAUUAACAGAAUUUCAUCUAUAAAUGAUUGCAAACGAUUGAGUGCUUGUGAAGCCAAUCUAUCCCAAGAAAUAUACUCUUAGAAGAGUCUUUCAAUUGAUCAGCUACAAGUGGCCUCAAUCUAAAAUAUUUUUGACUUUGAACUAUGGAGCUUAAGUUUUUUGACAAGAUUAAGUGAUAUAGCUGAACUUUCACACAGGGGAUAAUGAAAAGUACUACAUAUAUGUUGAUUUAUUCUUCUAAACCUUCUUGUCAACCGAGAUAAGUUAUUGUCACCGCUGUCUCAAAAGUUAUGUUACUUUUAGUAAAUUCAAUUCUAAGUAAUGUAUAAAUAUUAUAUCCUUAUUUGAAACAAUUAAUACACUAAAAAUUCACAAUCACUGUGAAUUUAAUGUUCAAUGUUGAACUUGUUCACUAAUUUACAAGAAAAGCCAUUGUGAAGCUGCAAUUAAACCCUCCCUGAUCAAAGGCAACGCCUUGUCUCAAAUAGACCUCGAAAGCACAUACUAGACGUGAGACAGAAAGAUACCAAAUGUUACGUACAGCAUUCAGGCCUUCUAAAGAAUAUCUCUUUACUUGAAGAACUUCUGCACAGCCAAUCGCUGGACUGUCUAACGGAGAUGAGGCUAGGAGUUCACCGCUCUCUCGUCGCGAUCCAGAUUGAGUCCGAGCACACUGGCUGAAAGAGCUUAUCAUACACAAUAUCACAAAAGUUACACAGAGCAAAGGGAAUAGCAAGUAUGAGCAUGUCUCUUUUUGUCCAAGCAAGAACUGGAUUCCCUGGUGGCGUGUAGAACAUGUGGUUGGCUGGUUUCGUUAAGAAGAUCUUUGGUGAAUUUGGAUCACCUCCACGGGGAUUUCGAGGUUGCAUUGGUUCGAGGAGGAUUGCAUCAAGUUAGAUCCUUACGUAAACAUGUAAGCCAGGGAAAAGAGAGGACAGCGCGCUUGCCACACUUCACCCACUGCGCCCCCAUCGCAGCUGCUCGUCCUGGAGCGCCUGUAAGCAAUACAAUCCUUCUCGCGUGUGCGCCAAGAGAUGACAAGCAUUUUGCAGGAUGAGGUGAUUGCUUUCAUCCAUGGAGACGAGAUUGCGACUCACAGACUCGUGAUCUUCCCGCUCCGUUGGAGAUGACUGGAGUGACGAUGGUGACGACGAGAAGGAAACGGCCAAGCCGCAAGAGCAAGGUGGUACUGUCGAUCGUCCUGCUAAUGAAGAAUGUAACCGGGAGGCUUUUCGUGCGCAACCUUGCAUACACCACGAGGUGUGUUCUUCAAACGUCGUAGCCUCAUCUUGUUUUCUCGUGUUUUUCUUUACCAGUGAAGAGGAACUGGUUUCCCUGUUCGGCCAGUAUGGGGAAGUUGUCCAAGUUCAUUUGAUUUGUGACAAAUGUUGUGUUCAUGCUACCAGAAGCAGCAACGAGGUGCUGAGUUUUCUGAAGGACUAAAUUCCCGUAUUAUGCAGGGCCAAGGAAGACUCUUACCUGCAUUUCAUGUCUCCUCUCCGGGAUUCUAGAGAUCGUUCCAUGAACCUGAAACAAGAGAGGGAGGUGGGAGCGCAAGAAAAAGGAGUCUAGCGGCAAUACGCAAGCAUGGAAUCCUGGCCAGAUUAUACGGUGUGUAGAGUUGACUCAACUCUUACAGUUUGAUCACUGCGUGACGCAGGUGGCCAAGCUAUGGGAUCUCCAGACGUGAGUUUUCUGGAUCCAGAAGCUGAGGACGUUGCCGAGGGUCUUGCUCUGGGAGAAACGCACGUCCUUUUCAUUAGCUCAGCAAGGCGUAAAACCAUGUGGAGGUGCUGGAGGAGAUCAUGCUCUCCUCGUCAAGAAUCUUCCCUUCAGCACAACGGAAUCGGAGAAAGUCUUGGAGCUUCCACUGACAAAAACCGUUGCUAUCGUAUGUGAGUUUUCUUCGUCUUGGUGUUUCCUCCUGAUCGCUUUAUCUGUUCGUUUGACACUAGGUGGAGUUUCUGGAGUCCUCGACUCCAUCUUGGAUCUAGUCUUAGGCUCCAUCUCGGACUCUAUCUCGUCCUCUGAGCACUUCAAAGGCCCAGUACAAGCCGGUUCCUUGCGGAAAGCGACGGUGCGUGUUUUCUUCUUCUUUCCACCAAGAGAGACUGUUCUUAGAAUGGUUUGUGGAAGUUACAGGUGACAAGAAAGCCAUCCGAAACUGGAGCAUCCCUGUCAAUGGGUUUCGGCUGACACGGCCGAGCGUGUCUGCAAAGGAAAUGCAGGUGAGAGACGUUUUACUGUCACACCGGGGAUAAUCGAUCGUGUGCAGGGUGGGUCUGCGGUCAUCUCGUGUAGUGAAGAGCAGCAGCAGCACGCACCAAAGCAUGUAAGGUAACUUCGCUCGCCUCCUUGCUGGAUUGGCAGACCGCCUGUCAAUCCCGCAGCGUGGCCUCUUGGACGCCAAGCACAGGCACGUAAAAAGGACGAUGGAAGAUCCUGUGUCGUGAUUCCAGGGGAUGCCACCCAGCAUGGGGACGAGCAGAUUCAAGAUCCAUUCGUGCGCACUCGAUCGGUUGGAGCUGGGAAGUUUGAAGGGCUUAGACUCGCGAUAUCUCCUUCCAGUCAUUCCUAAUGUGUCCUGAGUUAGUAGCAUCGCAAGUUCGGUGAGACGAUGCAGUCAUUCUUGGUUCUCUUGCUUGUGCACUUCACUUUGGGAGAGUUAGUUUUCAAACUUCAACAAGUAGUAUACAUGGUCGAUGUUAUGUGAAAUUAUGAUUGGAUAAUGGUGUAGAUGUUGUUUAUCUUAUUGUCUUGAAUCUGGCUGGGAUUUGUUAACUAUAUGAUUAUUUAGUAAUGAAUAAUUGAUCUUAAGUAGAUUUUAAGAUAAACAAAUUAAUUAAUUACCUAAUUACCUAAUUAAUUAAUUAAUUAAUGUUACUUAAUUUUACCUUUAACAAUAUUUUAAUUUACAAUUUUGCUACUCUUUGAUAUAGCAUUUGCCUUCUAUAGAAUUUUAGUGUGCAGCACUUUGUUCACCCAUUGUUAUUUAUUAGCUAUAGUUAUUAAUUUUUUAUAAUAUUAUAAUUAAAUUAAAUUUAUAUUUAGAAAUUAAAUAACUUUUUUAGAUUCUCAAGGAGAAACAAGAAUUAUAACCUUUAUAAUGCGUUUUUUUAGUUUUAAAAAAAAACUUUUCCUUCUAUGUUCAUUAAAACUUAAUUUUUUUCUUUGUAGUAGCAUUUAAGAAAUUUGAACUGUUGUUCGCACUAUAUUAAUUUAAGUUUUGUCAAACUAAAAUGCAGUUUAUGAUGACAUAGUAAUGUGUUUUAUGUUACAAAUGUUAUCUUUCUAUAGAAUAGAAUUCUUAUUUUAAUCUUUGCCUUUGAGAUAAUAUAAUUAGAAUUAGUUCAACAUAUAUUGAAAAAGGAUUUAGCAUAUAUAAGAUUUUAAAAAUUUAUAACUUUAAAUCAUAAUUUAAUUUUACUCUUAAAUCUUGAUAAUUUCAAAGGUUUUCUAUUAUUGAAUUGAUUGUGAUCAUCAAUAUCUAAAAGAUGCCUCAAACAAAUUGAAGAAUUCUUGUACUAUUAAAGUAAAAAUUAAAUAACUCCUCUGAAAAAAUUUAUUGUAAAAAUUAUAUAAUUUUUAAAAUUUUAUAUAUAAAUAAUAUGUUAUGAGUAACAUAUUAAAUUUAGUAGUAAAUACCAGAUAAGCAUAGAAUUAAACAAAAAACUUAUUUCAUUAAAACAACUUGGUCCCAACCGUGUUCGGCCAAAAUCCUGACCACCGUUGAACGCGGUCGGCCGAACACGGUCGGACAGCUUUGUUUGGUGAUUUUGUUCGGCGAUUAUCCUAAUUUAUAAUGUUUUAACACACAUUAUCUUAAUUAAGCUUAUAUGAGAUAAGGACAAAGGAAAACAAAUAAAAUAAUUUAAAAAUGAAAAAAAAAUACACUUAUAGACUUUUGAUUGAAUCUUUAAUAUUAUUUAAAUGAAUUGUAGAAAAAAACUUUAAUGUCUACUUGAUAGAAAAAAAAAAUUCUUAGUAUCAAUACAGGUUCAUUAUUAACAAAUAAAACACAAAUACAAAGAAAACAUUAUUUAUUAUAAAUAUUUUUUAAAAAUGUUCAAAUUACUACAAAAUGAUUCAAGGUGCAAGUUCAGUUUCUAACACCUUGAUACAAAAUCUUAACUAACACAAGUGAAUAGAUGAUAGCUAUCAAGUCUGUUAUGGGAGAUUAACAAUGCAAGGUAUAGGAUGCAAUGGCUCGAGAUUAAGCAGCUGUGGUGGAGGAACGCACCUCCUUUUCCAUAGACAAACUUCAAGCCUCGGGCUCAAGUUGUCACUUGAGGAAGAACAGCAGCUUUGCGUGCCACAGUCGUUCAUUCGCUGGGUUUCCUCGUGAUCAAUCCCCAACUUGGAUACUUUCCUAGCUCCAGUUUCUUUUGCAAUUUCUCCAUUUUCGGGUAAGACCGGGCUCAAGGCCGAGGCAGGAGCUCGAGACGUUGGCGCUUGCGACGAGAGAAGCUCGGAUCCAGUCUUCUCUAAUCUGAUUGAGUUUCUGCCUCCCAUGCAAAGAAUCCUCCCUGGUCUCCGGAAGAAAUGAUUAUUCUCGCGAAUAAUCCUGCCAUGUUUUCCUCUUCCAGCACUGACAUGGCCAAUGCAACUCACUGACGGCGAAGAUGGCUCCAGCUCUACGAGCUCUUCGGGUAUGCUGUGGAAGUUUAGAGCAGUGGAGUGACCGAUUUGCUGCUGCUUCUUCUUCUCGGAUGGGCUGGAAGUGGGAAACACGAGCUUUCUAGUGAAGAGACGUUGGAUUCCUCGGCUGAGCCAUGGUGGAAGGCAUCUUGGGGAAUACGUGCAUUCCAAUCUUCGGAAUUGAUCAUUAGAUGUCGUGCAGCUCACUCUGCUGCUUGAUUGUGGCGAAUCCGAUGAAUAAUCUUCUUCCCAGACGCCCAUAGUGUUCGGAAAUGGAGCACUACUUACCUUGAGAAAUAACUGGGAGAUCUUGUGAUCAAUGUUCGCAGAUCCAAGCUAGGGCCCAAGGUGUUCUUGGAGAAAUAGCAGAAAAAUAAUAGAAAAAUGGAAGAACACUGCCGUGUCAAGAAAAUCCAGGGCAGGACAGUUUUGUCUCUGAUAGGAAAAAAGAGAGAGAAUUGGAGAAAAACUGGAACUUUCAAUUAAAUGACUUUGAAUCUUCAACUUGUUCUAGAUCUCAAGACUCCGCAAAGACUUAUGUAAAAACGUGAUGUAGCCGGUUUUCAAAUGAGUGAAUAUACCAUACAAGAACCCUAAAAAUAUUUUUAGGGUUUUAGCCUCAAUGGCAACGCACAGCGAUCCUCUCACGGAGCUCCCGCCGCCGUCUCGCUUCGAUCCGGAAGACCUGGAGCUUCUCAGCGACGAUCCCUCUCAGGUAAUCCCCACUCCGGCGCCAUUCGUGGCAUGGAGGAACGACGAGGCGAAAAUCCUCCGCCCGGAGCUCCUCCUCCUCGGCUUCUCGCGGCCGUCGUGCACCCUCCUCCACCACAUCCCAGGCAAGAAGCUCCUCGCAUCGAUUGUGCUGCCGGGAAUCUCCAUGGCUGGCAACUCGAUCGCUGCUCCAUCGCCGGAGGAUCACUGUUGCUGCCUCUACGCUCUGGACGGGGAUUGCUCGAUCGUGGCGGCGCUCGUCCAGUACCGGAUCCCGCCCGAGAAAUACCACGAGUGGGUCAGGGUUCUCUUCGCGGCCGUGAAUCCGGAUGCGAUUCUCGCGAUGGAGCUCCUCCAGGCCGAGAAUUUCCGGUCCAGGCUCUCGGUGGACGAUCCGAUGCUCUUCACUCUCGAGACCGACGCGAUGAGAGCCGAGAAGAGAGAGCAGCAAAUCCCCCCGUUCUUGCCGUCGGGGAGCUUGAUCGAUGGGCCGGCGGCCGCGGUGCUGAGCUACUGCCAGAUGCAAUCUCUGCGCGCGAGAUUGCUCGUGUCGUGGCCGGAGCGUGAUGUUUCUUGCCUGGGGAAGAGCUUGCAAGAUCUUACGAGCUACUUGCCGGGCGCUAGAACUCUGGGAUUUGCGCAGGCAUCGAAAGCUAGUGUGGGAAAGCGAGGUAUUUCUACCUACGAGCUUUUCAUGUGAUCAAUGUUUUUGAAACAAUUUCUUCUCAUAUUAUAAAUGAAAAAUAAAUGCCUUUGGUUAAGGAUGGCAUUUACAGUUGUUAUUUAUUUAAAUUAAUUGUUGUAUUAUAAUUUAUAGAUUUUUUAAAACGCUAAGGUACUAAUUAUUGAUCAAAUGGAUUAAUAAAUAAUACUAAAUAAGGCAACCCUACCAAAAAUAAGAGUUUAAACCUGAUUAUUGGGAGAAACUAUAGAUUAAUUAAGUCAAAGGCUGGAGCACUUGUUCAUGAACUGGAUCAUCUCUCCGUACGAGUACUCCAUUUCUCCCUCGACCUCUGGAAACAGCACGAAAUGGCCUCGAUCUGGAUAUUCUACAAGCUUUGCAUCCUUCCCAGCUUUCCGGAGCUCUUCGUAGUACUCCACUACGCGGCUGUAGAGCACGUCUCCAGCUCCCACCACCACCAGCAAUGGCGGCAUUGGAUCGAUCUUGGCGAUCUCCUCGGCCCUCGGAACUCUGCAGUAACCAUGGUCGCGGUUGGCACCCUCGGGGAGACAAAAUCGCCAGAGAGUAUCGCAAUGGGCGAGUGUGAGAAGGUCGGGCUGGACCAGCGACUGGAUCUCGGACUUGGAUCUCUCCUCGCCGCCAAAGAAUGGAGCCACUGAAACCAGACCUUUGAUCCCCAGCGGCGAGAGGUCCCUGUGGAUCGACCGGGCAGCCAUGUAGUGGACGAUUGUCCCUCCGGAGCUGUUGCCCAUGAGGAAGAUCCGGGAGAAGUCCGCGUUCUUGAGCCACGGGUCGCGAUCCAUGGGCGAUUGCUGGGCCUGGGACUGAAGCCACUGAAGAGACGCGAAAGAAUCGUCGAAUGCCACGGGGAGGCGGUGCUCCGGCGCUAGCCUGUAGGCGACGGAGACGACGAUCAUCCCCAUCUUCCGGGAGAUACCACUGCAAAUACUGUGGGAUCGCAUCGAAGCAGGAGAGGUGGAAGCGAAUCCACCGGCAUGGAAGUAGACGAGUAGCGCGCGCUUACCGGUGAAGCUAGCAUCGUCGAUCACUGUAGCCGAUUUGGGAGCGAAGAUUCGAGCCCACAUUCCCGUUCCUUCGUCCAGGAUCACGUCCUUGCAUCCAAAUUCGCCCUUCUCGAAGCUCGGAUCGGCAGGGCAAUCGGGAUCGGGCCACUGGGGCCUGACGAUUCUGCCAUCGCUGAAGAGCUGGAUGCCUCCAAAAUCGCCCAGCAGCUCGCAAUUGGCCAUCGCAGUGGACGAAGAAUUUAAAACACGGAGCGUUGAAUAUCCACAUUGUUAAUGUCGCUUUGGCCGAGUGGUUAAGGCGUGUGCCUGCUAAGUACAUGGGGUUUCCCCGCGAGUGUUCGAAUCUCUCAGGCGACGCUUUCUUAAACCUUCCAUUUUUUCUCCUUUCAUCGCAGGUUAGGGUUCCAAUCGCGCCAUGGGACGGAGGCGAGAGCGCAGGCAGGGAACUAGUCGCCGGGUGAAGCUCGAUCUCACAGAUUCCGAGCCGCAAGGUAAGAUUACCUCGCAAUCUUUGCAUCAAUCGAGAGAAGUUUUUAUUCUUUCAGAGAAUGCGGCCGCCGAUUCCAAAGCGGGAGAAGAGAUUGCCGAUAGAUCUAGAAACGAUGGGGACACUACUACUGCCGCUGCUUCACCACCAUCCAACUCAGGUGGGUUACUCGGGCAUGCUUUUGAUGGCCGACCGCUUUGGAAUUGUGUGCCGGGUCUCGCUCGGUUGCUUGAAAACUCUAUAAGCCUCCAGAAGCACAAGGCUGGUCACUUCUUCUUUUCGUUUGUGAGGUCUACUACUCAGAACCAGCAGCGAAGAAAGAUGGUAGCGGCUCGUCAGCAAAUGGCCUUUGCGGUUCGUAUGAUUCUCGCUCAGCUAGUUUAGUCUUGCUGUGGAUAUCUGGAAGAAGUCCCUCUGGCGUUUUUCAAGCGUUCUUACGAGUUCUUGGUGCUCCAGGUGCUCCAGAGAAUUCGUUAUCGUUGUUGGGCCAGUACGAUGCCGACGAUGAUGGGAAGGUGGAGUCGGAGGAGAAAACCUCUUCUGGAAAUAUCGAUGAAAAGAAAAUGGAUGCAGAGGUAGAAUCUACUUUGUAUUUCUAGCCGCUGAGUGGUUGCUCUGUGAAUCAGGUGGCUGAUUUUAUUGCCGAGCUUGAGACAAGCGGAUUGCUAGACGCGAAUGCGUCCGAGACUUCGGAACCAGAAGCGAAACAAGUUGUUGAGCCAACAACAGAAGCUGCGGAGAUCAGAUCGGUUGUGGAAAGAACAAGUCGUCCGUCUCUGGCCUCCAUGAUCGGGGACGUUGUCGAGAAAGUGCUCGCAGAGAAUGAACCGGAGAAAUGCGACUGGAGAGCUGUUCUUCACGAGGAAAGUGGGGAGUAUUACUAUUGGAAUGUGGUGACUGGGGAAACAACUUGGAACAAGCACGACGGUUCUGUAGAGGCUGCUGUAGGCGUGGCACCUUUACCUUCAGAGUCUUACCCGGGAUUGCAAGCCACUUACGCUCCGGCCAUCUGUGAUGUGAACUAUUCUGGAUUAGUCGGGACUUCAGACGACGCUGAUACGCGGCUUGGAUCAGCUGCCCUCGUACAACUCGGAGAGACAAUUUGCGAACGCUUGAAAGGUCUUUGCGGGUGAGCAAAUAAUGCAUUGGUAGUUUUGAGCUGAAAGUGUUUCCGCAGGGACGCUUUGGUGACAUUACCAAAUCGCAUACGGCUGGCUGUCGAAGCAGAGAUACGGCUAUCCGAUUGCCGGCUGCUCAUGGCGCAAGGAAUGACUGACGGUCUCAUGUGGACAAAUACAGAAGCUCAUAUACGACGAAUCGAGUCAUUGCUUGUAGCCGAGCAGCAAGAGCAAGAGGCUGGUGUGAGAGCUGAAGACGAAGAUGUUGAUAUGGAGGUCGAUAUGGAUAUUGAGGAACCUGAAAUGAUCCAGCAGGCUGUGCCGCCACCUGAUGAAGACUCUGCUCCUCCGCCACCUCCCGAGCCAGAAAUUAUUCCCCCGCCGCCAGCGCAAGAACCUCUUUCUGAUCUGACAACCAACAGAGACGCGGUUCCACCCCGCGGAGAAAUGGAGACUUCUACAUCUGCGAGCAGUGCGGCACUUGUGGAAGCAGCGGCAGCCGCUGCUAAAAAAGCAAGUAAAGGUAUUUCGUGUCUUUAUGUCAGAUGUGUGGUUCUGACGCUAGCAUGUGUGCAGCUACGCGAAUGAAGAAGGGAAAUGCGCCAGUUCUCGUGAGUAAAACAAGCAAAAUGUCAUCCCUUGUAAACAAGGUAGUGUUUUGUUUUUCUCAAUUUGAUUGGGUUCUAAGUAAAUUUUUGGUUGUGUCUUUUCUGCAGUGGAUGGCUGCGAAGCAAGAGUUGCAUGAAAGUGAUGAUGAAGAUGGCGAGAAAGAACUAUAUGAUCACGAGGCAAUAGAAAGAAAGCGGCAAAGAGAGAUUGAUGAUUGGCGCAGGGAGCAGAUUGCAAGUGGACAAGCUUUGGACAACGUCAAUUUUCAACCUCUAGGACCAAUAGACUGGUAAGUCUGACGUCCACUUACUGCCUUUGCCUGAUGAUGAACACACUUCCAGGAGGGAUAGGGUGAAGCGAGCAAGGAAAGAAGGUCAAUCAAAAGUUUCUUCAACAAGCAAGAAGCAUCCAAAUCUGGACGUGCUUUCGAAAGGUCUUGCACCGGGGUGGAAGGUACGAUUGAGUGUUUUGAUCUAGGCUAUGUACUGAUAUUGCAUAUAUCAGGCUUUCUACGAUGAAAAAUCUGGUGAUGUCUAUUACGGAAACUUAGAAACAUCUGAAACGACAUGGGAUAGGCCAGUCGCGUGAACAGUUUUGUUUUAAACGCUCGAGAGGAAUGUCGAACGUCUGCUGUAGCGUUCAUGACGCGGUCGGAGGUGACGGAGACAAGAGCGUUCUUUUUGCCGGGAGACAACUAGCUUUCAACACGGUGGUAUCUCUCUUUCGGCACUACACUCACGAGCGGGCCUUGUUGAAGGGGCGUUCACUUCACGACUACAUCAUCAACCGCGGCUUUGAUCAGGAAACGUUUCUGGGAAAUCUGGUGGUCCAGAUGUACGGGAGGUGUGGGAGUGUGGCAGAGGCGAAGAAGGCAUUUGACAGGAUCCAGGAACCCAACGUCUUCUCGUGGACCAUCAUGGUGGCAGCUUAUGCCGAGAACGGAUAUCUCCAGGAAGCAAGGAAGAUUUUUGACGCGAUGACGGAGAAGAACGUGGUUUCGUGGACGGCUAUGGUUUCGAACUAUGCCCAGAAUGGUUAUCUCCAGGAAGCCAGGAAGUUGUUCGACGAGAUGCCAGUCCGGACUGCCGUGCCUUGGAACGCUAUGAUAGCCGGCUAUGCCCAGAACGGGCAUUGCGACGAGGCUCUAGUGAUGUACAGGAGGAUGAGACAGGAAGGUGUGAAGCCGACGGAGAGCACCUUUGUGAGCACUGUGGACGCCUGUGCUACAGUCGCUUUGCUGGAAGCUGGCCGGCUUGUUCAUUCAAAUGCCGCCGAGAUGGGGUUUCACACAGCAGAGAAAGUGGGAAACGCUCUCGUCAACAUGUAUGGCUGCUGCGGGUGCUGGGAAGACGCGAAGAAGGCAUUCGACGAUAUGCCGGAGCAGAAUGUGAUAGCUUGGACAGCUCUCCUGGUGGCCUACGCCAGGAGUUCCAAAGUCGAGGAAGCAAAGGCUACUUUUGACAAGAUGCCGGUGAAGAGUUUUAUUUCCUGGUCGGCAAUGGUGGGAGCUUAUGCCCAGAACGGUCAUAGCAAGGAGGCCCUUCUCCAGUUCCGGUUGAUGGACCUGGAAGGCGAGCGCCCCGACGGUGUGACUUUUAUCACCACUCUCUACGUCUGCGGCAACCUCUCGGCUAUAGAAGUUGGCCGGAUAAUCUACGAGGACAUCAUUGGGACACAUCUGGAAACCGACGUAACCGUGGUGACUGCGCUGCUGGACAUGUUUAGCAAGUGCGGGAGCUUGAGCCAAGCAAAGUCGCUGUUUGAUCGAAUGCCGCUCAAGGACAUGGUAAUGUGGAGCUCCAUGGUGGCUGCCUGUGCUCACAACGGUCAGUGGCUGAUGGUACUGGAUACGUACUACUAUAUGCUGCUCGACGGUGUCAAGCCCAACAAGGUGACGCUCAUGAGCGUCCUCUCGGCGUGCAGUCACGCCGGACUUUUGCGAGUGGCCUUGGAGCAGUUCACUUCAAUGAGAGAGGAGUAUGGCUGCGAGCCGGAGUAUCGGCACUACGUGUGCAUGGUGGAUACUUUAGCUCGGGCCGGACAGGUGAAAGAGGCCGAGGACUUGAUCGAGACGAUGCCGUUUGAGCCGGAUGGUUUGUCGUGGAGGACGCUGCUGAGCGCAUGCAACAGCUCGAGCGGAGCCGGGCAGGGUUCUCGAGCAGCGGAGAACGUCUUCGAACUGGAUCCGGAGCACGGAGCUCCAUACAUCCUGCUGUCGAAUCUCCACUCGGAGAAAUGAUUCAAGCUUGGGGGAGGAGGAACCUGCUCGCUCACCAGUAGUCGCCGCAGGAGCAAACACCGUUCUCGGUGUGGUGGAAGCGGUUGAGGUCCCGGACAAUGAUCUUCCGCCCCGUGAUCUUGGAAAUGAACUUGGUGGCCGAGUGGCAGUCGGAGCAGACUCUCAGGUUCUUGACAACUCUCAGCGUCGUUCCCGGUGGAGUGCUGAUGAGACCACAGGCGAUGGCGAGCUUCUCGCUGUGGAAGAAGAGGAGGCUCUCCUUCUCGUCCUCGUUCACGAGCCUGAGCACCUCGGUGGUAUCUGGUACGUAGCCGUCUUCCUUCAUGAGAACACUCAGCCGCUUGAGCUCUUCCAGGAUCUGCUGCUUCUUGGGGUGCUGGAACUUCUCCCCGGCCGUGAACUCGUGGAAGCGGUCAUUGAUCUCGAUGGUGCUCCACCCGGGCUUCUUCCUCACGCCGCGGGCUUCCAUCAGGUCCCUCACUUUCGCCUUCUCGGCGUGAUCUCCAGCCGCGGCAUGGAUGUUGGACAGCAGGACGUAGUAGCCAGGGAUCUCGCUGGUGAGCUCCAGCAGCACCUCCGCGGCUCGCUUCCCUCUCUCGACGCUCUUGUGGACGCGGCAGGCGGCGAGGAGAGUGUUCCAAGUUACAUCGUCCGGGACGAAAGGCAUGGUCUGGACGAGCUCCUCGGCCUCGAGCAAGCGUCCGGAUCGCCCGAGAAGAUCGACCAUGCACUUGAAGUGGUCCAUGGUGGGAGUGAUGCCGAAGUCGUGGACGAGGAGGUCGAAGUGGAAGAAGCCGUGCUCGAAGAGGCCGGCAUGGCUGCAAGCCGAGAGGAUGCUCUUGAAGGUGACAGCGUCGGGGAAGAGGCCGUCGACGUUCAUGGCCAGGAAAGCAUCGAGAGCUCGAUCGGUGUGGCCGUUUUGGACGAAGGCCGUGAUCAUGGUAGACCAGGAGAUCAAGUUCUUGUUCCGGAUACUCGAGAAGACAAUGGUGGCGUCGUCGAGAUUGCCACACUUGGCGUACAUGUUGACGAUGGCGGUGGAGAUCUCGACGUGGGCGACGAGCCCGGCCGCGGCUGCGAUGGAGUGGAGUGAUCUCCCAGCGACGAGCGCCGAGAGGCCGGCGCAGGCAUCGAUGGCGGCAACGAAGGUGACCAUGUCGCAGCGCUGGCCUUCGUUGUUCAUGGCGCGGAAGAGGUGGAGCGCGGCCUUGCAGUGCCCGUUCUGGGCAUACCCGGCGAUCAUCGCGUUCCAGGAGGAGGAGUUUCUCCUCGGCGCGGCGUCGAAGGUGGUCUUGGCGUGGAUCAUCCGGCCGUGGCGGGCGUAGGCGGCGAUCAUGGAGUUCCAGGCGAUGGUGUCCCUGGAGGGCAUGGAGUGGAAGAGCUUCUCCGCGGAGGGGAGGUCCCCGGCCGCGGCAUAGCCUGCUAGCAGCGCGGUGGCGGAGAACUCGUCCUUGGUGGGCAUUUGAUCGAAGAGGGAGUGCGCCAGGGGGAGAUUGCGGUGGUCGACCAGGGCCGAGAUGGCGAUGCUCCAGGAGAAGGCGUUCUUGGUGGGGAUGGAGUGGAAGACGCGGAGCAAGGAGUCGAGGUCGCCGCAUUUGCCAUACAUUUGGAGGAGGAGAUUGGAGAGGAAGCGAUCGGUGGCGAGGCCGGCGUGGACGAUUUGGCGGUGGAGCUGGCGGCCUUGGUUGAUCGAGGAGGGAGUGGAGCACUGGCGGAGGAGCGUGGCGUAGGAGCUCACGGUGUCCAUGGUUUAACUAUGACGAUAUAAUGAGGAACUAAUGAGGAUUAUGGCGAUAAUCGAAGGCGAGAGAUUAGGAAUCCCUAAUUUUCUUUUUGUUUUUAUAGGGCUUACUUCAUAUACUACGUUACAUUUUUUCGAAAUAUUCACGUUUAAAACUCUGGAUCUUGGUUUGUCUAACACAUAUAAUUUAGUCCUUUUUCCAGUACUAGCAUAGAGAUUAGUAGGGUUUACAAAAAUUAUGGAGCGAGGCACUGGUUACACUCAUCAUUCAACUGUGCAGGCUCAAGGCUUCAAGGAUGGCGAGGCCAAAAUCAAGCAAGCUAUGGCAAGAAAUGCACUCUUAGUUGAUCCAUCCCUGGAAGUGAUUAGAGUAGCCGACUUGGGAUGCUCCCACGGAUCCAAUGCAAUUCAUGCCGUUGACUUUGUAGCGCGAGAGAUAAUCGAGCUGCGAGAUCUAAAGCUUUCUUCGUCUUCGUCUUCCUCUUUGGAGAUCCAAGCCAUUUUCUCGGAUAUCACUGCCAAUGACUUCAACACGCUCUUUUCUCUAGUUCCACACCUCCAAGGCAAGCCGUACUUCUUCAGUGGAGUUCCUGGAUCAUUCUACCUCAGGCUCUUUCCUCGCUCUUCCAUCCACUUUGCAAUGACAACCUUCGCAUUACAUUCCCUCUCAAAGGUAUAAGUUUGUGUUGGUUCUGAUGUAAGUGAAUGGCUUCUAUGUGUAGAUCCCGGAGGAAAUCACUAACAAGGAGUCACCAGCUUGGAACAAAGGCACCAUGUACAUAGACAGAUCCUCGCCCCAAGCAGCAAUUGAAGCAGUUGUUCGGCAAGCUAAGGAGGACCUCCAGAACUUUCUCCAGUGCCGAGCUCAAGAACUAGUCACUGGAGGCCUCCUUGUCUCCAAAUUUCUCAUAAGAACCACACGAGAUCUUGAAGGGCCUCUGCACAAUGGUUUCCAAGAAGCGUGGAAGGAUCUCAUUCAAGAGGUAUAAAAUCUUCACAAAAAUCAAUGCUUGUUCCUAUGCCAUCACAUUUGCAGGGGAUUAUAAGCCAAGAGAGCUUGGACACCUUCAACUUUCCCGUCUAUUUUCGCAGCUGUCAUGAGGUCCAAGAUGCAUUGGAUUCAGUGAAGGAGGAGUUCAAGGUGAUUCACAGAGAAGUUUCGAAAGUCCAGAUUCCUCCUCGUCAACCUAGUGACUCAAUGAGGGCGUUCAAGGCCAUAAGCAAGCCCUUCAUCGAGCAACAUGUUGGAGAUGAGAAGAUUGUGGAGCUCAUGUACUCGAGGAGCUUGUCUAAAGAGUUAAGAAGUAGAGACUUAUUUUCCAUGCUACUCGUUCUUGAAAAAAAAGAGUUUAUAGUAAUCUAAUCAAGAAUACAAUACUGAAGAACAAAAAGAAAGAGAUGUUGAUAUUAAACACUUCGAUACUUGAAUAAGUUGGUAUGGGAUUAUACAGCAAAUUAUAUACAACUUUUUUGAAGCUUUAGAUGAUUUUACAAUACAUAUAUAAGAAGUUCCAAAAAGAAUUUCAGUAGCUUCUCGUUGUAGAGAGCGGAUCAUAGUCGUAGACUUGCCCGGCCUUCACAAAGCGGCCUUUUAUCCGCCGUCUUGUAUCAGCACGAGUCUUGCGAGAUUCAUACCGGAUUCGCUUCUCGUAUCUGUGACAAAACUUGUGAGAAACAAAACUCAAAUGAAACAAAAUGGAAGACCAACGUACUUGCGAGUUUUCCUCUUUUCCUUGUACCGGAGCAUGGCAUUCCCUCUUGCCUCCGAGGCCGCCGCGGGAUCCGAGCUAGUCGAGCUCCACAGCUCUCCAGCCGCGUAAAACACCGAAGCACAGUCCGCGUACUCGGUGCCACUGCUAUCUCCGCUCACUCCACUGGAGCAAGCCGGCCUCGGAGAGAACUGGACGUUUCCCGCUGCUGCUGCCGGAUGGAAAGGGCCUCUACACGCCGACUCGGAAGCGUCCGACUGGAGAGAGUUUGCAGUGUCCAUGCUCGAGCAUCCCUGGAAAAGUUUUAGCUCUUUUAGCUCCUCUAGGCUAGAGACUGCUUACGUUUUGCAUGCUCUUGGAGCUCAUGGCCGGAGCCAUGCUCGGGCACGCGAUUCCAAUGUCUUGAAACGGGGUUCCAGCGGCGUCCUGGGCCGAGAGGAAAAGAUCUUCGUAGUUGUCAAAGACAUUCACGUCGUCAGCCGUCAGCGCUUUGCAGAUAUCAUCGAUUCCCAUGUCCUGCGCGUUGUUCCAGAGCUGCAAAGGAAUUAAAAAAAAAAGAGUAUGAGUAUCGACAAAGAAGUAAAGGAGAAAGGACCCGACAUGACGGGCAUUCUAGCAACAGCAAGCUGGAAACAAGAAAUAUCAGCUGGACAGCGUUAGUCGACCUUUUGGAUGCUGGCAAGAUAACCAACUAAGACGAGAUUCGGCUGGAGGCCUGGUCAGUAGAGACGGUAGCAAGAAAAUUUAAUGCACCUGCUGGUCUGGACUCGCUGCCUUCCAGGCGUUCUCACCCUGCUGAGGAAAAAUCUCGCCACUCUCGGGCUUUGAGGACGGGCUGUGGAGGCCAAGUUGAGCCGUCUGGUUCUGGAUCUCCGCAACACCGCUGCUGCUGCUCGUCGAAGGCCUCGGUGGAGGUGGAGGCAUCAAAGUCUGUGCUUGCGUGAUGGCUUUCUCUCGCUGUUGAUGCCCGAGUGCCUGCUGUGGGGGCCGACUUUGCAAGAUCAUCAGCUGCUGGAAGAUCUUCUUCUCCCGGCUCUGGAAAGAAAAGCAAGACAAAAAAAAAAAACCAAAAAACCAUUUGAAAGGCCUCGAAAGAAAAGCAAAACGCUACCUGUGGAGUUGAAGGGUGGUGGAGCUGCUGCUGCGACUGACUUGACGCCGGUAGCCAACCUUGAAGGGUCUCCAGACUUUUAGACGUAGAUCCCUUCCCGCUUCCAUUUCCACUUCCACUUCCACUUCCUGGUUCAUCGGACACAUCACAGUACCAUAGCCGAGCAAGCUCCGCCGACGAAGGACAUCCCGUGUAGGAUACAAUAGCGCGCCUCUUGUGGUGCAUAGCUCGGUACUCUGCGUGUCUUUUGCCGUCGCAGGCCUGGCAAAAGGCCUUGCUUUCCGCUCCACAGCGAACCACAGCAGGCUGGACGACGCACAUAUCGCACACCAGAGUUCUCGAGUGCCUCCUGGAGAGAGCGUUUGCUUCGUGAACGUUGCGGUCACACGACAGGCACAGGAGCGCAGCAUCGGCCUUGCAGUAGACAGUGGCUCGUUCGUCCCCACAAAAGUCGCAAGGUCUCUCCAUCAAAGUCCCCGCUUUUCCUUCUCUAGAACUAUUUCUACUACCUGUGUAGAAAACCUCCGUUUUCAAGUCAUUUGUCUCCAAAGAACUUGCGUAAAGUUGGCUUAUCGCAGAUAUUUUGAUUUGCUUCGUGAAGAACCUGUGUGGACCAGAAGAACUUGAUCUAUAUUCUCUCUCGUGAAGUACCUGGAUAGGACCUUUAAGUUUCUAUGACGGCGAGUAGAGGAACCAGAGAAAACUCGCAAGCUGAUGGCCGCAACGAUAUGUGGCAAGCGAGCAGUCCAUCUGGAAGGCGAAUUCCUCCCCCGCAAAUCUCCGCAAGCAGCAUCUAAGACUAAAACCCCACCUCCGUCGCCGAUUUCCUAGCAGCGCCCAACCCCUAUUCCCAGCGCCAGCGCCGGCAUUUCGAUGAUGCGAGGAGGAUCCAGGGCCGCGAGCGCCGAUCUAAUCGCCUCGAUCGCUUGGGAGCGGCGUGGAGGCGGCCAAUUCCAGCCUCGAGCGAGCACGAGAGUGUGGAUAGGGUUUAAGCCCAAAGCCUAAUGAAAAAGCGCAAAAGUCUGCCAGCUCAGCAAUCGCUUUUGGACCUAUUUUACGCUGGCCCCGCCACGUCACUCGUGCAGCGUGUCAAUUCGCCCAAUUACAACGACAUUUUGCCCUUGAGAGAUGAAUUUUUGGCACUUGGAUCUUGAGUGGAAAAUCUGAUCUAAGAGAAAGCUAUGGUGGUUCUUGUGAUGAGCCAUCAUGGCCGCAGCAAACCAAACAGUAGAUCUGGUUUCCAGCAUUCGCCGUUGCAACAGUUUGGUCGAGGCCAGGACGCUCCACUCGCUCGCUGUGGAGAAUUAUCGCAAGAACCAAACUUUUACGGCAAAUCUCGUGAUUGAGAUGUACGGAAGGUGUGGGGGCAUCGAUGAGGCUAGGAGGGUGUUUGAUGCAAUCGCCAACAAGAAUGUUUUCUCGUGGACUAUCAUACUAACAGUGUAUGCCCGCUCUGGGCAUCUGGAUGAGGCAAAGUUUGUCUUUGACACAAUGCCUGAAAAGAACGUUGUCUCGGAGACGACAAUGAUAAUGGCUUACGCAGAAGCUGCAAAACUUGAUCAAGCUAAGAUUGUUUUUGACAGCAUGCAAGAACGCAAUUUGUUUGCUUGGAACGCCUUGAUAACUGGACAUGCCCGACAUGGGCAUUACAAAGGCGCUCUUAAACUAUUACAGCUUAUGGAUCUCGACGGUGUCAGGGCCGAUCGGAUCACGUUUCUCGCAAUUAUCGAGUCAUGCUCGGGGUUAAACGAUUUUCGAAAAGCCAGGCUCAUGCACUCGAGAGCUGGAGCUUCUGGUUAUGCUCUAGAAACGAAGGUGGCAAAUGCCCUGAUCACAAUGUAUGGACGAUUCGGAGCUCUCGAUGAUGCAACGAAGGUUUUCCAAGAGCUGAAAGACAAGAGCACCGUUUCAUGGAAUGCCAUGGCGUGGGCAUUUGGGUCCAAUGGUCGUGUAGACGAUUCCAGACGCUUGCUCCAUGUUGAUUGCUCAAAAAGGGAUUUGAGUUCUUACAACUGCUUGAUCUCGGGGUUCUCCCUGAACGAUCGGCCCCAAGAAGCAGUGGAAGUGUUUGAGAUGCUGCUUUUGGAGGGCGAGUUUCAUCCAGACGACGUGAGCUUCCUCGCAGUUCUUAGCUGCUCGUGCUUCAAAAGGAUUCGCGAUUUGAGAACCAUCUACAAUGUCGCGAGCGAGGCGGGCUAUCUUGCAAACACGAGGGUCGCAAACUCUCUCGUGAAUUGUUUUGGCAGAUCUGGAGCUCUUGACGACGCAACUUGCCUGUUCCGGGAGAUCACGAAAACGGCAAAUGCCGCCUCUUGCUGGAACGUCCUUCUCGGCGUCUACGUCGAAAGCAAUCUCCCACGCGAGGCCAUUCUUUUGUUUCGCGAAAUGGACGUGGAAGGCGUAAAGCUCGACUAUAUCACGAUGAUCCUGGCCGUCGAUGCCUGCCGGAUCGGAGGGCCCGGCGCCACCCUCUUCCGGCGCUCCAUCCACGACAGGGCCAUCCGUACGGGCUUUCUCCAGCAUGUGAAAGUCGCCACCGGGCUUGUCACCAUGUACGGCGAGUACGGCAUGGUAGGCGACGCUUUCCAGGUGUUCUGUUCGAUUCCCACCAAAAACCUCCUCGCGUGGACUGCGCUGGUAGUCGCAUACGCCCGAAACGGGCAUAUGGAACAAGCAUUGGAAGCGUUUCAACGGAUGGGAUUGGACGGCUGCCAGCCUGACGAGAUCGCCUUCGUCGGUAUCAUCUCAGCUUGCAGUCACGGCGGGCGCGUACGGGAGGGCUGGCAUUUUAUGGCCGAAAUGUACGGGGAGUUUGGCGUGGGCCAAAAGGAGGAACACUAUAGCUGCCUUGUCGACAUGCUUGGAAGGGCGGGGUUACUAGACGAGGCUGAGAGAUUUAUCCAGGAGGUGACUGUAAAUGUAAACCCCUGGAAGGGUAGAAGUUUAUUACUGUCCUGGAAAAGCCUGUUGAGUUCUUGCCGGGUUCAAGGUGACCUGGAGCUCGCCCACAGGGUUUUGACACAAGUGGACAGGUAACUAAAGGUGUCACCUCCGGGUAACUAUAAUUGAAUAUUCGAUUCCAGCUGGCAACGAAUGGAAGAGACAACCAAGAAAGAUUUUCGAGGCAACGUCAGAGCAGAUAUAUACAAGAGGCAAAACAAACGUUUGGUGACGUGAAUCCUUUGCAAAAUAGUCAAAAUGGGUAUAUUCUCCCUCGAUCCGGCUCUUAACGCUGGGCUAGGGAAAUCCCGGGACUACCUAAUGGGGAGACGCUGCGAUCGAUCACUCUAAUGUCGGGAGCUCUCACAUUUGAUCGACGAGGCGGGAGAAGAGACGAUAUCGAUUCCAAUGGCUGCGAGGAUUCUAGUCUUGAUGGCGCUGCUCGAGGAAGGAUAUGGCAGCCGCGGGAUGCUCGAAGACUUGGGAAACGCGCACAGAAGAGUUCCAGAGGAGGAAUCGAGCGCUCCUCCGCCAGCGUCGUCUUCGAUCGCCGCCAGUGGCUCCGCCGCGACUAGGCCAGCGCUGGGAUUCCCUCUGGGCACAGCGCUCAUCCUCUUCCUCGUUUUCGGAGUGAGUACUCUCUUCUCUUGCUGCUACCACUGGGAGAAGAUCCGGAGCCACACUGGCAGGCUCACUGCAAACCGGAGCUCCGCCAUGGAUUCAUCCGCGACGAGUUCCUCCGCUGCUGAUGGCGCCGCCGGCGAUCGAUGCUGCGAAAUCGAUCCACCCAAGUGCACCAAACAGGUGGGAAGAACUUUUUUCCUGGUUCUCGAGGAGCUAAUCGAGUGUGUUCUUGCAUUGACAGUCUCUCAUCUUGCCAGUGUUGAUGCCUGGCGAUCAAAUCCCUAGGUACGUCGCGUGGCCCUCCCCUCAUGGAAUCCCAGACGAAGCUAUUACUAAUGCUAGUUUACACGAUAACUAUUGUCAGUUAUGACGUGGAUCCUUUAAUGUCCAGGCUAAAGAAAGCCCUAAGGUUUAAAUGCAAACCGAGCUUUUGAAUGCGCGGCUGACACGUGUCACGAUCUCGUUGCUUGGUUACCGCGAACAAACCGCAAGAGCUAGGGUUUGCCUGGCGGUAGGGUUUGGGGGCGUGUGAGCGAUCGGUUUUGAAAAAAUGGAGGCGGAUUGAGGCUUGUUCUCGCAGAUUCUCCGCGGCAGCGAGCUGCGAGCGCCCGGAUUGCGAUGGAUGGCGUCACCGGAGGCGAUGUGGAGCUCAUGUCCAAGAGCUUGCAAGUGGAGCACAAGCUCUUCUACUUCGACCUCAAGGAGAAUCCGCGCGGCCGAUACCUGAAAAUCUCGGAGAAGACAACCACCUCGCGCUCCACAAUUAUCGUCCCGGAGAGCGGCAUUGUGUGGUUUUUGGAUCUCUUUAACCUCUACUCUAACGGGGAUGAUAAGUUCGAGAGCAAGGAGCUCCAGAUGGAUACCAAGGUUUGCUUUAGUGUCUUUUCCCUAAGAGAGAUUCAUCACACUCAAUCGAUCGAUCCUGCGCAGGUGUUCUACUUUGAUGUUGGGGAGAAUCCUCGAGGCCGGUUUCUCAAGGUGAGUGAUGAGCGAGUUCUUUUUUCCUUUGGAGGGAAGCUUUGAACUCUUGAGCUCGAACAAGAGAAUGAAUUUCCAUGUUGGUAGAUCUCGGAAGUCUCGGCAGCGUCGGUCCGAAGCACGAUCAUCGUUCCCUCUGGCAACGAUGCCGACGAGGGCUGGGUCCAAUUCCGACAUGUUCUAGCGGAAAUUCACGAGGCAUCGCAGAUGCUCUUGUCUUCCAUCGAGAACCGUCAAGUAAGUUCUCAAGUUCUUCUCAAGUUCCAAAGUUUGAUUUUCCUCUUUUUCCUCAAAGAUUGGAGCUCCAGAGUCGUCGCCCAUCAACGCUGGAUUCUACGACGGACCCGUAAGGAACGGCCCGACCGUAGCUCCUCCGAGCAACGAUACGAGUCGGAUGAGCUCCACUGCCAGAGUUUUGCGAGCCGAGCAAAAAAAGUUCUUCUUUGAUCUCGGCUCCAAUGCCCGGGGCCAGUACCUUCGAAUCUCAGAGGUAAACUUCAUACAAUUCGAUUCAUUGAUCUCCUCGCUAGCUCACUCCAUAGUUUUUUUUUCUAGAGCGAUUGAUUUCCUAGAAUUAUUUUCUAAGGCUAUUUUGUCCCCAGGUAAUUGGUGGUGAUCGAUCGGCAAUCAUUCUUCCAGCAUCAGCACUAGAGCAGUUUCAUGAAACCGUGGGAGAAUUUGUGGAAUUACUCAAAGCCCAGGAACAACAGGUCUCCAGCGCUGUUCUCGCGGACCCCGGCUACACAAAGUGAAGAAAGAAAAAAAUUCAGUGUUUUUGCUUCUUUACCCUUUUUUACCCUGUUCGCGUUUUUUGUAACCGUCGGAUCGUGGCCACGUGUCAGCUUCUGGCUUUUGCCAUUUGAAUUUCCCGCCAUUUUGCCAUUUAGGGUUCUUAGCUCUGGAGCUCCCCGUGUCGGCGGGAAUGAAUGGCGGGCAGCGAAGCGGCGCGGCGCGGCGAGAGGUGAGCCACUAGGUUGCCGCGAUGUUCGUCAAGGAGAUCAGUCUAGAGGGCUUCAAAUCUUAUGCGACGAGCACAUUCGUCUCAAAUUUCGAUCCCUGCUUCAACGCCAUCACCGGCUUGAAUGGCUCCGGGAAAUCCAACAUCCUGGACUCGAUCUGCUUCGUGCUGGGGAUUACCAAGCUGGAACAGGUCCGCGCCAGUAAUCUCAACGAGCUCGUCUACAAGCAGGGCCAGGCGGGUGUUACCAAGGCGACCGUCUCGGUCACUUUUGAUAACUCUGAUCGUAGCCGAAGUCCUAUUGGAUUUGAAGAUAUGAGUGAGAUCACUGUCACUCGCCAGGUACUGCCCCUUGCUUUGUUCUUUUGGGAUUUUUCUACUUAGAUUCUUUUCUUUCUGUGCUUAAUGAGCUUACUGGCUCUUUGGUGGGCUUACAGGUGGUUGUGGGUGGAAGAAAUAAGUAUCUUAUCAAUGGUCAUGUUGCGCAGCCCAGCAGAGUCCAGAAUCUUUUCCAUUCAGUCCAGCUCAAUGUGAACAACCCGCAUUUUCUGAUCAUGCAAGGCCGGAUCACCAAAGUUCUCAACAUGAAGCCCCAUGAGAUACUGUCGAUGCUGGAAGAAGCUGCUGGGACCCGGAUGUACGAGACGAAAAGAGUGGCAGCGCUGAAAACCUUGGAGAAGAAGCAGACUAAGGUGAACGAGAUUGAUCAGAUGCUCGAACAAGAGAUUCUUCCGGCACUGGACAAGCUCAAAAAGGAAAAGUGCCAGUACAUGCAAUGGGCAAAAGCUAACGAGGACAUAGAACGGCUUGACAGGUUUUGCACUGCGUAUCGUUACGUGGAGGCUGAGAAGAUUAAGAAUGCGGGAACCAGCGAGAUAGAUGCUCUGAAGUCCAAGAUAGACGGUUUGCAGGAAAAUAUAAACACUAUCGAAGCACAGAUUCAAGAUAAGGAGGCCACUAUUCGGGAAUUAACGUCUGCGAAGGAAAAGAAAACUGGUCAAGAGAUGAAAGGUCUGGCUGAUGUUGUUGACAAGCUUUCAAGUUCACUUGUCAAAGAAACAUCGGCUUUUACAAACGAGAAAGAUCUACUAGAUGCCGAAAGAGUCUCAGCAGAGAGGGUACGAAGCACCUUUUUUUUUUUCUUCUAAUUUGGCCUGAAGUGUUUUGCUGGCCUUGCAGCUUUUGAAGAACAUGGCCGAUUUGGACUGCCUUGUAGACCAGAAAGUUAACGCUAUUCAAAAAGGAGACACCGAGUCGUCAGGGAUUCGAGAAAAAACAAACAACCUUUCCAAAUUGCUGGAGGAACUUGAAACAGAAUACCAGGUACUGGAAUGCGGUAACCGCUUUCUGAACUUUAAUUGGUGUUUUCAGAGUGUUCAAGCUGGGAAAGGCGGAGGUGGAGAUCAGAAGUCCCUGGCAGAACAACUUGCUGAUGCAAAAGCUGCCGUUGGGCGGGCUAGCACAGAGUUAAAGCAAGUUAGCACCAAAAUCCUGCACACCGAAAAUGAGCUUAAAGAGAAAAAGAAGGCCCUGGAAUCCAAAACGAAAGAAGCGUCUUCGCUGCAAGUCGAACUACAGUCGAGAAAAGCUGAAAUCGACAAGAUUUUAAAGACAUUGGAGGGUGUAACUUAUGAAAAUGGUCACAUGGAGCGACUGGAAGAGGUACUUUUCUCACUUGUUUGUCUUCCGUGUUUAGCCGUAAGUUUUGUUUCUCAGAGUCGGAAGCAAGAGCUUGAGAUGGUUGAAAAUCUGAAACAAGAAGUUAGCAAUCUUGGGAGCAGUCUGGUUGGUGUAGAGUUUUCUUUCGAAGAUCCCGUCAAUAACUUUGAUCGCCGUCGGGUAAAAGGUGUCGUAGCCCGACUUAUACGUGUUGACGAUUCUACAGCUGUGGUGGCACUCGAGGUUUGUUACCUUAUUCCUGCUUUAACUGAUGUUUUGAAUUAUUUAUGGCAGGUUGCAGCCGGAAGCAAACUUUAUAACGUUGUUGUGGAUACAGAACAGACUGGUAAGCUGCUGCUUGAGAAAGGUAAAUUGCGCCGGAGGGUUACGAUCAUUCCGCUUAACAAGAUUCAAGCGAGCACGAUACCAUCCAGAGUUCAAGAUGUGGCGGCCAGCAUGGUACCAGUUGAUGCAUACUAUUUGUUGAUUCUUUGUUUUAUAGGUAGGUCCAGAAAACUGUAGAACAGCGCUUUCGCUUGUGGGUUACGACCGCGAGCUUCAGGUAAUUUUGUCCGGUUGCACAUACGCCUUAUUCUUGUUCACAGGCUGCGAUGGGAUUUGUGUUUGGUGGUACUUUCGUCUGCAAGACUACGGACGUCGCUAAACAGGUGGGUCUCGCACUUUGUGUUCCUUUUUAAAGUUAUCUGGCAGGUUGCGUUUCACAAAGAUACAAGGACUGCUUCUGUUACGUUAGACGGUGAUAUCUUUCAACCGAGUGGUUUACUUACUGGUGGCUCCCGGAAGUGCGUGCUCACUGUACAUUGCUGAGCUGCUAAUAACUUUCCCAUGUUGCAGAGGCGGCGGCGAGCUAUUAAAGCAGCUCCAUGCUUUAUCGGAAGCCGAAUCAAAACUAAGUACUCAUCGGCAUAAGUUAGCAGAAGUUGAUGCCGAGGUAUGCACUUAUCUCUUCUUCUCCUUAAGCAGCCAGUUAAUCAGUAAAUUGUAGAUUGCCAAAGUGAGUCCCAUCCACAAGAAAUAUCAACAGUUGAAGUCCCAACUUGACCUCAAGCAGUAUGACUUUUCACUAUUUGAAAAGCGUGUAGAACAAAGCGAGCAUCACAAGGUAAAACUUGUUUUCAACAAUCAGGUGGUCUGAGUUUGGUGUGCUGUACUGCAGCUUAGUGAAGCAGUAGCUGGUCUUGCAGCAGAACUGGAUAAUUGGAAGAAGGAAGCUCAUAAAAAGGAAGAGUAUCACAAAGAAUGCCUUGGUACCGCAGAAAACCUUGAGCAGGCAAUUUCAGAGCAUGGCCGAGGUCGUGAAGGUCGACUUAAGGCUUUAGAUACCCAGAUAAAAAGUGUAAAGCGCGAAGUGACGUCCGCAUCUAAGGAGCUCAAGGUUUGUCAUCGUUUUUUUCUCUAUCCUUUGGUCUGAAACAAGUUUUAUAGGACCAUGAAGGUCUGAAAGAGCGACUCAUUAUGGAAAAGGAGGCUGCAGUUCAAGAAAAGCAAGCACUACAUAAGCAAUGGACCGCGUCUGAGUCUCAAAUAAAGAAGCUGGAAGCUGGUGUUGAGAAGCUUGCGUCAAAGGUUUUACCUUCGGUUUAUUAUUUCCUAGUGGAUGUUAAUUUUUGCCUCUAAGGUGAGGGAGCUAGAGGAAGAGUAUCGGAACGCAGAAGAACAGCUCAAUCACGGGAGAGCUAAACUUAAGGAAUGCGAUUCUCAGAUAAAUGCUCUAGUCACAGAGCAGAAUCAGCUGCGUCAAAGUCAAACUGAAGCCAAUUUGGAAAUCAAAAGAACCACUAAUGAGGUAGGGAGAAAAUCUUGUACUUCAGGUGUUGACGUCCUGUUACCCUUGUCAAGAUCAAGCGCAUGGAGACAGAUCAACGUAACAGUGCAGAUACAUUGCAGAAGCUGCGAAAAGAUCAUAAAUGGAUUGACACUGAGAAACAAUUUUUUGGCAAGCCAGGCACAGACUACGACUUUAGUAGUCGCGAUCCUAAAAGUGCUCGAGAAGAGCUUGAAAGGAAGAAAGCUGAGCAGAACAAGUAAGCGCAGAUCACAGCUUCUUCCUCACUGACAGCGGUGCUAUUUUGUAGCCUCGGCAAAAGAGUCAACACGAAGGUCAUGACAAUGUUCGAAAAAGCUGAACAAGAAUGUAGUGAGCUGCUGAGGAAGAAAGGCCAAGUUCAGGUAAGCUAAUCGUGAAAUUUUUCUUUGCCGUGUGACGUGCAUCGGCUGCUGGCAGGAUGAUAAAGCGAAAAUCGAAGCGGUGAUCAGGGAGCUUGAUGAGAAGAAAAAAGAGACUCUAAAAGUUACUUGGCAACACGUGAACAAGUAAGCUAGCUUCAGCCGUUUUGCUUCAUCCCAGCUUCAUUGUUUUCAACACCAGGGAUUUCGGAUCCAUUUUCUCCACAUUGCUACCGGGAUCAAUGGCAAAGCUGGAACCUCCGGAAGGCUGCGGCUUUCUGGAUGGCCUCGAGGUUCGCGUUGGUUUUGGAGGGGUGUGGAAGCAGUCCCUCUCGGAACUAAGCGGAGGCCAGCGCUCCCUCAUAGCACUGUCGAUCAUACUGGCAUUACUGCUCUACAAACCAGCUCCGAUCUACAUCCUGGACGAGGUAAGGAAGCAACCUCAUCGCAUCUUUACAAGAUUCGCUAUCAGGUGGACGCAGCACUCGACCUCAGUCACACCCAGAACAUAGGCCGAAUGAUAAAGACACACUUUCCUCACUCCCAGGUAUUGGCUUGUGCUGAAGUCACAUUCUACUUCACAUCUAUCUCCCUUGUUCCUCAGUUCAUCGUGGUCUCUUUGAAAGAGGGGAUGUUUAACAACGCAAACGUUAUCUUCCGUACUAAGUUCGUGGAUGGAGUGUCAACCGUAACAAGGACAGGCAAAUCAUAGGCAACUUGCGGGGGGAACGAAUAUACCUAUUAGAAGAUUCCUUAAUCACAUUAAUAUUUUUUGUUAUAGAUUGUUACAUGAAUCUAGUGUUCAUCCUUGCCAUGACUGUAGAAAGGGUGGAAAUAAUUGAAGUAUUGUUUGAUUGACAUGGCAACUAAGGUGGAUAAAACUCAGCCAUAUGGCAAAUUUUAAGGAGAAUCACAAGGUGGAUAAUAUUCGAGCUCUCCAUAAUUCUUCGUGCAAUGCAGCCAUGGCUAGUGUCCUCCUUCCAGCACUCAAGCAAUGCAGGUGUAAGAAGUAUUGUGCCCGUCCUUUCACAGCUCAAGUCUUCUAGAGAUAUAGACGAGGCAAGGAAAAUCCAUGCUAGUGUUAUCAACAAUGGUUUGGAAGACAAUCUCUACGUUGCUAGCAGCCUUGUCACCGUCUACUCCAGGUGUGGCAGUCUGGUGAACGCCAGCAAAAUGUUCCACAAAACGAAGCACCACAACGCUAUCCACAUUCAGGCAUAUGCCGUGAGUGGGGCUUUAGAAAACCUGUGAGGAGGGGGGAAAUAAAAAUAAAACUGGAGUGUAUAAAAUUAAUUCAAUGUAUAUUUCAAAAUGCAUUUAAGAUUGGUAAAGAGAUUAGUAAAUACAAGAAGAAAAAGCAAAACAUUUUAAAACUUAUAUUACCAAAAGAAUUCUAAUAGUUAUUAGCCAAAAUAGCAGUCAAUUCAAACUCAUUUAGUAUGCUAUUGUAAAGGACGAUGACAGUAUGAUAAAAUCAAAGCUGGGGUAAUUUAAUUUUGGAUAUAAAACAUGCCUUCUUGAUCCAGGAAUGACAACAGAAUGAAUUACACUACUGAAAUGCUUGUGAUCGUAUCAGUUUUGUUCCAACUUUCACUCUCUCAGCCAUUCCCACCCCCGGCAGUUCCGAGAGUUUUACCACAAGUAUCAUAUUUGAGCAUGGCAUAUUAUCUAUCACAGGUUGAAUUUGAAAGUCUUUUAGAUGCUAUAACCAAUUAUAUUUCAUCAUUUUCUACCCUGGAAAGAUAUUAUCUCCAAAGCUGGUCAUUCACGCAUAGUCUUAGUCGAUUCGGAAUAAGAAUUGUUCUUGCUGUGAGCACACCACAUAUUUCAACUGAUACUGCAAUUCCUUUGGUGUGUACACAGGGUGGGGUGCGGACAAUGCAAUAUGGUGGUGCUACUUUGUGGGCCUAUUUUUCUACCCUACGUGAUGCAUUGAGAGAACAAGCGGCAUCCAACAAUGAGAGGACAUUUUUCUGUGGGGCUAUAAGAGUAGAAUAUAUGAAUUUUAGGAUCGAAUACACAAUUCUAAGUUAUCAGGAUAGUUUGCAUGGUCUUCUACAUACAAACAUAGUUUCUAAUCUUGAUGAUAAUGAUCAGGGAAGCUGCUGGAUAUUCAGGUCUGGGCUCUCUGGAGGUGACUAUGGCGUUGUGGGUUCUUACAUUUUACCAGAAAAUAGUUUAGUCUCUGGUAAUAACAAGUACAAAUUAACUCUAGAAAUGAACUGUAAACUUGUUUUAUACAAAAUGGGUCAUAUUAUUAUAUGGGAGAGUCCAAACACAUCACAUAUUUGCUACUGUGCGAUAUUAAAAAGAGAUGGCAAUCUUUUCAUAGUUGACAAGGGAAAGGGUAUCCUAUGGCACACAAAUAUAUAUUGUCAUGACAAUAAGCAUUCUUGCGUGAUAACGGCAAGUUUAUUGGUAACUGACUAUGGCAAUGUAGAAAUAGUUGAUACAGACAAUCAAGAACUCUUGUGGAGAGCCCUGGGAAAUUAGAUUUGGAUUCAAAGGAGUCAGAAUGAAUUCAAGAGAUUGUUGCUAAGUUCUCGUCUUGUCCUAAGAAAACAUAUAACAGAAUAGUGAUGCUGAUGAAAUCUUGAAGAAACAAUGGUAUUCGGAACCAAAAUCCCCUGGCGACAGCCUUAGAUAGAGGAGAUUAGGGCAGGAUUAGGCAAGUUCUAUUUUUUAGAUCUCCACCAUCCUUCUGCUUUUGAACUUCUAUUAGUUCAAUAAAAGUAUAUUAUGUGUCACUUAACUAGCUUAUUCCUAUUGUCAAAAGGCAUGUAUUUGCUCAUUGGGAAUAUGCUUGACUUGCCAUAUUACUGAAGGUGGGACAACCUUUAACCUCUUCUUCAUAGGCAAACAUGUAUAAACAACUUGUAUUAUUGCUUAUAUCAGACAAACAGGUUUAUUAAUCCAAUAAAAGUAUGUUAUGUGUCAUUAACUGGUUUAUGCUUGCUAUUAAUGGGCCAUGUAUUGCCUCAACAGGCUCAGAACACACUCCCCAAACUCUCCCUACCCAUGAACCAAUCUUCACAAGCUAAUUAAGUGGAUCACACCACUUUCUUGGUGGUAGCCCAUGUGCUUGAUGUGGCUGAUAUAACAAACAAAUUGGCCUCUGGAACCCUCUCAUCUUUAUUAUCAACUUGGAAAAUCGAGAUCUUCUCAAAAGAGCUAAAGCCGAUGGGAAUCGAAGGUGCUUGAGUUGAGCAUACCAAAUAUUGCAACUGAUAUUGCAAUUCCUUUGAUAUGUACACUAGGGUCUGGAUUCAAGUGAAAACAAUUGCUAUUCGUCCUAGACAAAUAAAAGAACAACUGUAUUGGAGAUGAAAGAAUAGAGACGCUUACCCAAUGCUGACGAGAUCGUGAAGAAACAAUGGUAUUCGAUUGCUUUUACUAGGAAUCAAAAUCGUGGGAGUUAGAUGGACUACCUGCAAUGCUUCAUUGGUUCGAUCGCUUCGCUGAAGAAAUGAUAGUGGCGUUAGACCUACGAAGAGAGCUCUAAGCUCUUUCUUACCACUGUGGAAGCUCAACGAGGCCAGAUCCAGGAGACGCUGGAGAGAGCUGGCGACGAUCUUUUGCAGCUUCACGUCCUUGCACUGUGGACUUGACGAGACCGAGUGGAGCUGCUUCACCACCUGAGCACAGAUCCGAUCUGUGUAGGCGACGAAGAGGAAGUUUAGCCGGUUGGAUCGGAGCAUGGCCUCCUUGGUCCGGAAGAACUCCGCCACGAAUUCUUCCAGCAAGUCGGGAUCCAGCAUCGACUUUUCCAGCCAGCCAGUGAAGGGAAAAUCCAGCACCUUGGAGAUGAGCUCGAGAAGAAAGUAGGAAUUCUCGAGCAGCUGGGUGGUGUCCUCCGCGAAUGGAUCUCUCGCCUGCGACAGCGCCUCGGCAAUGACUGCGAGCUGGCCAGAUACGUCGGUCAGGAUCCUGUGGCCGAUGCAAGGAACUUCGGCGAGGUGGAGGAGGACCUUCUCGAUGAAAGGCCUGUGAUCGAGCUUGAGAGCGUCGUCCUUGGAUUUCUCUGCCGAGUCCGUGAAGCUCAUCACCUUGCCGACGAGGCUCCCAAUCAAUCUCUUCGUGGCGCUCUGGGCCGCCGUGGAGAAUCUCUCGCCGCCAAUGCUGGAGACACAGCUCUCAAAGAAAUCCACAGCCUGGUGGAGCCACACGGAGAAAAGCUGGACGUUCGUACUUGACACGAGCUCGACGAUGAGAUUCGCCAUCUCCGUCAAACGACGAGCCCUCUCUUCGUCCUGUUCUUGGUUGCCGGCAUCGAGGAGGCGGCGUUUCUUGCAGCCAUUGAGGAAUCGGACGCAGUCCAUGAGGCGAGCGACAGAUUCCUCGUGGAACUCCGGUUGCGCCAGGAUAUUUCGCUGCAGGCGAGGAGGCGGAGUGGAAGAAUCCGUGAAGCACUUGCACAGGACGCGCGGCACCAGCGGCUCCGCGGAGCUGGAGCGCAACCUCUCGAUCUCGCUCCGGAGCAGCGAAAUUUCAUCCUUGAGCCGCUUCUUGGCCGCAAUGCCACCGCGAUCCGCCCCGCCGCGGGACUUGACGAUCGCAACGGCCAGCGCCAGGCGCACUGCCUGGUACGACUGCGCUGGCUGUGGCUGUGGAUCCACAUCCAUACCUGGCAACGCGCUCGCCUCGAGCAUUCCUCCACCCCGCUCUUUUUCUUAGGGUUCUUCAGCUUCAAAACCCCGUCCGUCUCCCGCCCAUCAUGGCCGUCGAUGCCAGGUUCAGAACAGACGGCCACGAUGCGAUUAAAACCAACGCCUGAGAUUUGCAGUUUCUGAUCUAGCGGCUGGGGUUCAAACUCUUCGAUUGCAACGCACCCUCAGAAAAAUGCCUCCUCCUGACCCCUUUCCAACGACGAUUUCUUCGUCCGCGUAGAACCAGAUGAAGAAAGGAUCUUUGUUCCCGGGCUCUCGAUCCAGCUCUUCUUUCUUGCUGAUCGCGAAUUGGAAGGGGCCGAGAGGCCCAACCUUGACGCUCAGGGAAUCGAAGAUGAAGAAGAGCUUGUUCUUGGACCAUGAGAAGCGUCCCAUGAAUUCUAGCACACCAAGAGGGCCGAGGUAGAGCCCGUUUAGUAUGCUCUUUGUCUGUGAUGAUCCACAUUGUUAACGACCAAUCCUUGUGAAAGCUUUUGGAAACUUACAGUGGCAUUGUAUUGCUGCACAGCGGUGAAUGGGACGUAUGUGCCACCUCCACCACCACCUUUCAAAGCUUCUCUCACCUUCAAAUUGAAAGCAAAAAUUAAGAGCAAAGUUCUAGAUUUGUGACAAGUUUUCUUACCACUUUGGCUCCAGAAGCGAACACAAGCAUCCAGCACCUUGGCUCAGCUCCACUACUUCCUCCCAAAGUCUCUAGAAAAUUGGAUGGAUCCACGCGGGCUUUCUCCAAAACUCUAAAUGCCGCAAACACCUCUGGAGCUGGGAUUUUCUUGCUCUUGGCAGCGGCCUUUAGCACCAGAACGCUCUCCUCGACUUUGCUAUCCACUUCCCCCACUGAACGAUUGUGAAAGAAAGCUUUCUAGAAUUUCUAUACGAGUGAAAAUUUACCUUGAGAUUCUCCACUCGCAACCCUGGCAUGAAAAUUUCUACUUCUGGUACUUAUAACUUUCCUGUCCGCUUUGAGAGCUCCAAAUCCCAGCGUACUAUGGCGAGGAUUUAAACAUGAGUAUUGACUCAAGCCUUUCGCCCAUUCCACUCCCAUCUCCAUAAAUGAUAAGGGCAUAAAGCUAAGAUCCUAUAACGCAUAUUCUUUCACACGUCAUCGUGUUUAAGAUACACACGUCAUCACGGUUUAAGGCGCAAAACCUUGACACGUCAGCUGCAUUCAACGAUGCGGCCACGUGGACGAGCGGGAAAUCAACAAGAACCCUAAAAUUUAGAUCAAAGGAUUUCUCUCAAAGCUCGAAGCGACUCCAUCUCAUCCUUGCAAAUCGCCCUCCACUUCUCCACCACAAUCUCGUGCGCCCGGCGCAGCUGCCGCGGAUUAUCCUCGAGCUGCCGCGCAUCCACCGCGCCACAGAUCCUCAUCACCUUGGACGCCGGCGGCAGGAAAUCCCCCUCCACAUCGUCCAUGCUCGGCUCCCUCGCCAGGUACUCCAUCCUCGCCUCCACAAGCCUCCUCAUCGCGUGCCUCGAUCCAGCGCUCCCGCUCGCGAUCGCUUUCUCCACAAAUCCCUCCUCCACCAUCCUCUUCACCAUAUUCAUCCUCUUGCUCGCCAGCUCCACCACCCUCUCGAGCACUCCCUCGUCCUCGAGCCAAAACAGCGCCAUCUCCAGGAACUCCUUUUGCUCCGCCCAAGUCAUGUAAUUCUUCCACGUCGUGAACUGCCUGAUCUUCUCGCCCUUCUGAUUGAGGGGCGAGGGAUCCCCGGCCCAGGAAUUCAGCUCCGCCUUGUCCAUCACCUCCGCAAGCUCCACCUUGCAGAGCUCGCAAAACAGCCGCUUCAUCUCCGCCUUGUCCUUCAAGCCCAUCAACCGCCCAGCUCUUAGCAUCGCCCUGACCACCUCACCGCGACAGUGCUCGCUGGUUCUCACACGUAAGUUCUCAGGCUUGUCGAGCAGCAUGAGCAGCAUGACGUCGGGUUCAUCGAGCCACUGCCGCCAGGGCUGGUAUUGCUCCGCCUUCUCUGGGAAGCCGGGCAGCUGCAAAGACUUUGCCGCAAAUGCCCGCGCCACUUCCAGAUGUCCCAGAGCUUCCAGCUGCAGCGCGAACUCGAGAAUCCCACCGAUGAACCUCAUCUCGCUCGCCUUUGCAUCGCGGGAUGAUGGAUCACUGGAGCUUACCGCCACCCUCUGCUCCUCCCACAGGACCUCCACCUCCGUCAUGCGCUCCGGGAAGUGGUGCACCACCAUAGCCAUCAUCCGGAAGCUCAGCACCGCCAGGGGGACCUUUCCAAGGAUCUGGGAGGCCUCGUCGCGGAGCCCGUUGGCGAGGCAAAAGUCGAGCAGGCUCUGGACACCACCUUCCGGCUGGAACCCCUGGCUAUCCCUACCAAAGCUGGAUUGCCAUGGCGCUGGCCCGUACUGCGGCUGCUCCGAGGUGGCGACGCUCCGGCAGAGCAGCUUGGCAGCCGCGACCGCCCCGUCGUUGCAUCCGCAGCGGUGCAGCUUCCACGGAAGGAAUCCACUGUGAAACACGCCGACGAGCGCCGUCUCCACGAUCUCUCGGCACGCCUCCCAGCCGUAGGCAUGCACUGCUCUCGCAAACUCGUCGAGACUGAUCAGCUCCGCCACCCAGGUCCUGAGGAUCGCAAAGGCCGACUCGCGAAGCCCCGACUUCACGCACAGCUCGAGCAGCAUCGCGGGCUCUCGAUAGAGUUCCUGGAAAUUCUUGCUCAUGUUCCUUGCCAGUCGCCAGUGCAUGUCGUUCUGCCUCGUUUGACCCCACGGAGCAACCGAAGCGAACUUCCGCGUUAACCCGUCCACUGCCUCUUCCAAGAACCUCCGGGGCUCCUCCAUAGCUGCGAACUCGUCCCCGUAAAUCUCCCGCAGCCACUCGAGCACCCAAGAGAUGUCCCCGAGCGACGGGCAGAUCGUCGAGCUCCUCGCCACCUUUGGCCACACCACCAGCGCCGCGACGUGGUAAAAGUACUGCUCGCUGCCACCCUCGUUGCCCGCCAUCAUCUCCGUGCCGCGGAACUCGUCCUCGAUGAAAUCAAACACGUCCCGCUCGUUCCUCUGGUCUUCAACCUCGCCCUCGGCCUCUUCGUCCUCCAUGAUCAUCCCUGCGGGCGGUGGAGCACACCUGAGAACCUGCCGCGUGAAAUCGAUGUGCCACUGCUUGAACUUGGCCGGCUGGUCGUCGAUGGAGAGCCAGUUAUCGAUCACGUACUCGUUCUGGAAGUAGUCCGUCACGGUCUUGUGCUUGGUGAGCAUGCACAGAUGGAGAUCCAGGAACUCGCUGUGGGAGUGUACAAGACCACGUCAGCACACAGCCACGUGAGCGAUCCAGACGCCGCCACGGAUCGUCACGAUAAACCCAUACAUUUAACCAUGUAUCAACCGUCAUAAUAAUAACACAACACCGUUUCAUAUUACCACAUGGUAUCGGAGCAGCGAACGAUCUAAUGGCCAGAGGACAGUGGCACAUGAAGAAUCAAAGGGGCCAGGAACCCUUGGCUCAGGAGCGCGCGAGGGCUUUGGCAGUGCUGGCGCGGGUGGAGCGGAAGAUCCAGGAGCGAAAGCGCCAACAAGCUCUUUGCCCAGCCUGCCGGAAGGUGUGCCCUUGUUGCGGCCGAGUUUUUCACGAUUCUUCUCCACGCCGUCCUUUCUAAAUUCUCUGUUUAAUCUAUUCUUAGAUUAAUAGAUAGAAUGUCUUCAGGAAAUUCUUGGGACUCUGGGGGCUGGGAGAAACUUCUCCAAAAGUUCACGGGACAGAAUUUCUCCACUUGGAAAACAAAAGUACAGCUUAUCCUUUUGGCCAAGGACUGCUGGCCUAUAGUGGAUGGAACGACUCAACGUCCGGCUGCUGCGGAUGUAACCCAACGGCUCGACUGGGACUCCAAGAAUCGGAAAGCGCUCUCUGUCAUCGGGUUAGGUCUUGGGGAUGAAUUCGUUCAUCUCCUUGAUCUUACCAAAACAGCCCACCAGAACUGGACAUCCCUUACACAAAUCUUCGCUGCCAAAGCUGCCAAUGCUAAGGUGGUGCUAACACAAAGGUUCUUCACGAUGAGAAUGCAACCUGAUGACACCAUGGCCACUUACAUUGGAAAGUUUAAAGCGAUGAUCAGCGAGCUGAAGGACGCGGAAGCGGCAAUCACCAUCGAUCAAGCUAAGGCAUUCCUUCUGAGCUCGGUCUCCCCUGAUCUCCAACCUUUCGCAUCGAUGCUCUCGGCAGUGCCUGGAAAGGACUUGGACUCGCUCUACUCGGACCUGAUCGAGGAAGAACGAAAGCAGAACGAGCGGAGACAAAAGGCGCCCUCUCAGGCUGCUCGGGUGGAGCAGGCCUUGAUCAUGGGAAAGCAAUCGGGUGGGAAGAAACGAGAUGGCCCUGUUCGAGGACAAAAGAGCCCUUCUCCCAGCCCUGGAUUUGCAACCAAUAAAAAACGCAAGGGCCCAUGUAACUACUGCGGCAAAGCUGGCCACGUGGAGCGUGAAUGCCGGAUCAAGAAAGCCGCAGAGAAAGCUCGCGCUGAAAGAAGCUCUUCUUCACGCCAACCUGACACAAUGUUGAUGAUGACGCUCGCUGCAUCUUCAUCCACUGUGUCCGAAGCCGAAGUGCUCUGGAUGGAUUCUGGAGCCUCGAUGCACCUCACACCCUUGAAGAGAGCUUUUCACAAGUACCGGCCACUGGAGCAGGAGAAGCAAGUCUUUGUAGGAGACAAAUGCCCCUUAACAGUGGAAGGACAAGGAACGGUCAUCAUAAAGUUGGAGAGUGGAGCUGAGAAGCUCGUGAACCAGGUCUACUACGUACCAGAAGCAGGACAGACAGUGUUCUCAGUUGGUGUAGCAGCAGAUCAAGGCUUCUCAACACUCUUCAAUGCAGACGGAUGCACCAUCUUUGACGAGACUGGCCAUCCAGUAGCUUUUGGUAGACGAGCUGAGACUCUCUACAAGCUCAAUGCUCAGUUGAUCCUCUCAACUCACGAGCAGGGGCAUUUGCUUGCAAUUCGCCCCAGCUCCUGGGCUGCCAACUCUCUCCAGCUCUGGCACGCUCGGCUAGGGCAUGCCAAUUCUCACGACAUCUACCAUCACUUCCAGGUCUACAAAAGCUGGGCAGAAAAUGCCACUGGCUGUACCAUCCGGACACUACGUUCAGAUGGCGGCGGUGAGUAUAUGAGCAAGGAGUUUCUGGCAUUUCUUGCUCAGGCUGGCAUCCACCACGAGUACACCGCAGCCCACACCUCGCAGCAGAAUGGGGUCGCCGAGCGCCUGAACAGGACACUUAUGGACUGUGUACGCUGCCUUCUCCAGCACGCUGGCAUGCCCAAGGUGUUUUGGGGAGAGGCACUCAACACAGCAGUGUACCUCCGGAACCGGCUGCCAACACGUUCCACAGGACAGGUGCCGUUUCAAGUAUGGACUGGGAAGCGCCCCAAGUUAGGGCACUUGAGGGUGUUUGGUUGCAUCGCCUACGCCCACAUCCCCGAUGUUCAGCGGCGGAAGCUGGAUCCCAAGAGCGAGAAAUGCAUCUUCAUGGGCUAUCACACCCAGGUAAAAGCCUAUCGACUCUAUAACUGCCAGCGCAGGAAACUGGUGGUGAGCCGAGAUGUGGUGUUUGAUGAAGCUCGUCUUUAUCGAGAUACCCUGAGACUCCCUCCUGUUUCUCCACCAUCUCUGGUGGAUCUUUCUGAGAUUUUGGACGACGUUCCACAUCUCCACCCAGCACCAGACAAUCCAGCCGCUGCAGAGCCAGGAGGAGUUGCUGAAGGAGCGCCCGAAGGAGGCGAUCUGGCAGGAGGAGCUGAUCACGGUACUUCUCUUCCUUCGACACCUCCUCUGACGACUCCACAGGCCACAGCGGCUGCAUCCUCAAGCACCAAUGAACAGCCAGAUCUUUCCACGCUUGUGGCUGACCUGUUCGUUGGCGACGAGUUAUAUCAAGAUGCCACCACUCCUCCCAGCAUUCCCAAGCUACCACCUCCUCCAGCCGGCACAGCAGUGGUGACACGCUCGGGUCGUGUCGUGAAACCAUCUCUUAAAGCCAAGGAGGCGAUGCCUAUAGGAAAGCGUGCCUACUUCUGGGCUCUGUCGGCUCCACCUGCCUCUCUCGGUCCCCAAGCGGCUCUACAUGGACCAGAAGCUGAACACUGGCAGGCAGCUAUGCAGGAGGAGUAUGAUUCUCUCCAGAAAAACAACACUUGGUCGCUGGUUGAACUUCCAGCUCGCAGAAAGCUCGUCUCAUCCAAGUGGUUGUUUAAGAAAAAGUACAACGCUGAUGGAAGCAUUGAGCGCUACAAGGCGAGAUUUGUGGCACGCGGAUUUUCUCAAGUUCAUGGGCUGGACUACUCGGAGACUUACAGCCCGGUGGUGAAACUCACAACCAUUCGUAUGCUACUAAUCUUAGCUGCAGAAUUGGAUCUCGAGCUCCAUCAACUUGACGUUUGUACUGCGUUCCUUAACGGCGACAUCGAUGAAGAGGUGUAUGUGGCUCAGCCUCCUGGUUUUAUCCAGCCUGGAGAAGAACACCUCGUUUGCAAGCUUCACAAAGCUCUCUACGGACUCAAGCAGUCGCCACGCCAAUGGUACACGAAAAUAGAUUCUUUUCUAAUUUCCCUUGGUUUCGUGCGCAGUGCUGCUGAUUGUAACCUCUACAUAUAUUUUGACGCUGAGGGCUAUUUGUUCCUUGCGCUAUAUGUGGACGAUGCUAUUCUCGUGGCAAAUCAGCUACGUUUGAUCCACAAAUUUAAAACGUACCUUGGCGCUAAAUUUGCCAUGAAAGACCUCGGUGAGUUGCAUUUCUGCCUCGGUAUCCAGGUGACGCGCAACAGGGAACGAGGCACUCUGGAGCUAAGCCAGGCAAAAUAUGUUUCCGACGUGCUCCAGAGGUAUGGCCUUGCUCAUGUUAAUCCGGUUGCUACUCCCAUGGAAACAGGCACGAAAUUAUCUGCUGAGAGUGGAGAGUACCUUGAUCAAUCUCCCGAGGAGGAGAAAGCAUCUAGAGCAGUCUAUCGCUCUAUGGUCGGCAGCCUGAUCUACCUGGUAAUCUCCACUCGGCCUGACCUUGCAUAUGCUGUGGGAACAGUGGCGAAGUACCUGGACCGUCCCUCCACAGCACACUGGCAGGCUUUGAAACGUAUUAUGAGGUACGUGGCAGGGACUAACCAGCUAACUUUAAAGUACUCCAGAGGCGAGAGCGGCAAUAAGCUGGCUGGUUACUCUGAUGCUGAUUGGGCCGGGGAUCCAGACAACAGGAAGUCAACCACAGGCUACGUUUUCCUGCUAAAUGGAAAUGUCGCAAGCUGGUGCAGCAAACGACAGGCUAUUACAGCGAUGUCGAGUACUGAGGCUGAGUACAUAGCUGCAGCAGCUGCAACCAAGGAAGCAGCGUGGCUGAAGGGACUUCUCCAGGAUCUACAAAUCAACACGGGCGUGGUCAAGCUAUUGUGUGACAACCAGUCUGCAAUAGCUUUGACCAAGAACUCCAGGUUCCACUCUCGUACUAAACACAUUGAGCUGCGCUUCCAUUUUAUACGAGAGCAGAUCCAGAGAGGAAUGAUCGAGCUGGAGUUCUGCCCGACAAACUCCAUGCUAGCGGACGUGCUAACAAAACCACUUCCUCGUGUUAAACAUGAAGUCUUCACGAAGGCUCUUGGGCUGACUUUAGACGUUGGCCUUGAGGAGGAGUGUGGGAGUGUACAAGACCACGUCAGCACACAGCCACGUGAGCGAUCCAGACGCCGCCACGGAUCGUCACGAUAAACCCAUACAUUUAACCAUGUAUCAACCGUCAUAAUAAUAACACAACACCGUUUCAUAUUACCAC